UUAUUUUAAUGUGUUUGUGGAUCUGCUUUGAGAGUUCAAAACAUGGUUAAAAAACGUGAAAAUUAGAAGUAUUAUAUUAAUGUUUUUGGUUCCACGUCUUCAAGCAUUGUACACACAUCAAACAAUAAGCUACACAAAGUAGUGGCCUUUUGGCCCUUUAUGAAUAAACAAAAAAAAAAAAAAAGCUACACAAAGUAGUUUUCAGUUUACGUAAAAAAAGUUGUUUAUGCAUGAACACCAAAACCAAAUAAGCUAUUAUUGUGUUUGGAACAAUUACAUUGAAUAUACAUCCAAAUGGAUUUUGAUUUUUUUAAUGAAAUGCUUGGCAAAUUUGAUCAGAAUCAAUUCUAUACUUUAAAACCAUGGUUUUGAUAAAAGCAAAAUUAUCUUCAAAAUUUAAUAUUACUAUAUUUGUGCCCUGACUAUUCUUAUUGAAUUAAUAACACAAGUAAAAAUAAUUUUUAUACGCGUAUCCAUAAAGAAACAUCAUUUACGUAUAUGUUAGAAGCACCAUCAACUAUUCUCUCUGGAAUUUAUUACAUAAUAAUACUAGCUGGAAAUGUUGACCAAGAAAAGGAAGGCUGGCUGUAAUCGAAGAAGGUAGUAGAAUCAUGGUUUUCGUCCAAGAGCCGUGAAAAGAAAAUAAAAAUUAAAAAGCUACACUGGUUUUCUUUCCUCUCAAAACCAAGGGUAAGGUAUUAUACAUGUUUACCUACAUGUAUUUUUUUUAAUACAUCAGAAAAACUUAACAAAAGAGGAACCUAAACACACAAUCUAAGGAUCCGAACUGCUUCUGCUAGAAGAGACAGAGACAGUUGAGGUAGGCAAUUCGGCCAAACUUGAAAGAGAUUAUAACUUGAGGCUCCACAUUUAGCAAGCCAAUCAAACGCCUUCUCGAAGAGUAAGCUGAAUACAGAUUCACCAAUCUUACGCCACCAGCAAUUUGAUCAAGUUGAUAAUGGUAGCGUGAGGAUGAAACAUACUGGUUUCCUCCAUGAUGAGUUUGAGAGCCACUAUAAAGUCAGACUCAAACAAUAUCCCCAAGACUGUAUGUUUUCCUACAUAUACGUGUUUUUCCUUCAUUUUUUCUUCACUUUUAUUUCUACAAUCAAAACCAUGAGUUCAUUUUUAACCAAAAUCAAUUAUAAAAAAUUAGAUCAUUUAGGACAUGCCUAUCCAAAGACACAAGUAUACUCUUUCUAUGAAAAUCAAUCUUAAGUCCCUUUUGGAGGAACAACUUUAGUUCCCAGUCACCUUGUCAGAUCAGCCAGUCUGGGUUGUAAUUCAAAAUGCAAAGGCUAAAAUUUUGCAGUCUUUUCCCUACUUGGAUUUUUAUUUUCAUUUUGGUUCCUCAAUAGCUAUGUUUGACGUUACAUAAUAACUAACAAACUACAAAGGAUGAGUGAAAUGGGUGACCAACACUGCACAAGUUUCACUCCAGAACAUAACUCUAACGUCCAUUCCAUGUUUCAAGAUAUAAUUGGAACGACUAUCAAAACUCUUGAAUCUAAUAUAACCAAAGGAUGUUCACUCCUAGGACACGUUUAAUAGCACCAAAAAUUCGGAUAUGUUUGAUUCAAUUUUUUUUUGCAAAAGUAACCCCAACCAAACAUGCACUGUGGACAACACAACAGUCAUGCAACAAAUAAAGCCAUCGUUCAAUAUUAACCCAGGAAACCAAUCUAAAUCCAAGGUGAAGAAGCAUCAAAUAAAAUUCCAGAAGUCAAAAUUUUGGAUAUUGUUUAACACAAUAUGUAUUUCUAACAGAAAAAUCUACCAAAAACAAUAUACUCCAGUAAACCAAGCAGCAUCUCAGGCUUCUGAGAUUGGAUACUCAAAUACUACAUCUUUUCCAGUAAGCUUUCUAUAAACUCCAGAAAAAGUCUCCAGCUUGUACUCAGUGUUGUUGCGCUCCUUGGGGUCCAAGAAAACCUUAAUUGAUACAUUGACAAAAGGAAAUGCUUUACAAGUUAUAUGGGGAACAAAAAGAAAAGGACAUUUAACCUAUCAUCAACUUCACAAAAGCUCACCUUCAUUAUUUUUGAGCCAUCAAUUCUAUAUCUGACCCGUUUGCCAACAAUCUCUGCAGGAUACACAACAUCCUCCAGCAUGGCAUCAUGGACGGCGGUCAAAGUACGGGUUCGGGGUCGCUGAACAGCAGAGCCUUUCUUAGGUGGUCGCACGAUCCUCCUUGUGGCAAUGAAGACAACAUCCUGUCAUUCAAUAAUCUUCAGUUAAUACAAAUUGUUGAUCCAGGAACUCACAAUAACCAUAUUAAUGUGAUAUGGUAAACAAAUAUAUUAAGGAAAAACAUUGAAAAGAAAACCAAAGAUCAACUAAUUUCAUAUCAAGUCACAUUGCAGUAAAAUACAACCUUCCCACUAAACUUCUUCUCCAACUCUCUGACAAGUCGAAGAUGAAUCUUGCGGAAUGCCUUCCUCAAUCUGAAGGGCACAUAGAUGACUACAGCCUUGCGAUUACCAGCCACAUCCAUUUGACUGCAUGAAAUAAGUUGUCCUAACAAUGAGAAAUUUUUUAAGACCAAACAUCCAUCAAUUCAUCAUUGAUCAUUCAUAACAUCCUUACAUUGCUUGAUUUAUGUAGAGAUCUUUCAAGUCACUUUUCAGAUCCUGAUUGGUGUUCUCCAAGUCAAACAAGUACUGCACAGGCAUCAAAUAACAGAGUUCCAAAAUAAAGGAUAAUCUUGAAUUUAUGAAAUCAAUUCAUUCUAGAGAAACAGAAAAGGGCUAUAACCUGUGCAACUGUCUCCUCAAAUUCAGUGGGCUCGGCAUCCUUAUCCUUGUGAAUUUUCUUCCUCGAGGUGUACAUUUUGUUCAAUCUGUUUCAUGACAUAAAAGCCACUAUCAGAACCUUUGCUUAGUAAAUCAAAAUAAGAAUCACAGUGAACAUAAUUUCCAAAAUCCAAUUACAAGGCAAGUGACAACCAAACCUAAUAUUCAUAUGGUUACAAUGACAAAGAAAUUUAGAAACUGCAUAAUUAAGAAUAUAUAAUAUAGAAACCAUAAACAAAAACAAAAAAUCACCACCAAUCUCAUAACUUUCAGUAAGGAAGACUCGUAUAAACAUGAGGCAGUGUCAACAGCUAAAACAGUUUUCCACCUCCCCACUUCCUCUCUCUUGUUUUUUUUUAUCUUUAAUUCUCACUUACUGAGCUAAAAAGGAAAAAUCAAAGUGGAUACAUAUUUUCCGAAAUCCUAAUUACAAGCAAGUGACAACCCAAACCAAACUCAUAGGGUUACAAGGCUAAAGAAAUUUAUAAGCUUCACAAUUAAGAAUAUAGAAAUAUAGAAAUUAUACACAAAAAAUAAAAAAUCACCACCAAUCUCAGAAUUUUCACCAUUAAAUGAGACAAUGUCAUCAACUGAAACAGUUCUCUCCCCCCUUAAUUCUCACUUGCUGAGCUAACAGACAAAACAUCAGCAAGCCCAAAUCCAAAAACUAAACAAGAAACUCGAAGGACUAUAAUCACGACAAAGAUUAGUUCCUUUUGUGCUCUCACCAACACACUCCCGAUGCAAACAUUACAUUGUUCCAAGAAUGAUGUAUGGACAAAUGUUCAAGCCCCUUAAUUCCAAUAGAAAGCAAUUAAUAGAAAUCAAUUCAAACCAAUCAAAAACUCAAAUUUAAAGCAUAUAUUUUAAAGGAGAAUUAGGAAGAUUAUGGGAUUGGGGAAUGUGGAUUGGCUCAAAAUUGUUGUAUAUUAAAACCCGUGAUAAUCAGAAGCAAAUUAAGCGAUAAAAAAAUUGAAGAGAGAAAAUGGGGAAUAAGCGAAGCGAGAGAAACAGUUGAAUACCAGAUGGAGCGAGUGACGAACCCUUCUGCUUCAGCACGAGCGAGCGAAAGAGAGCGAAAGAGAAAGGAGGCGCUUACAAGGGUUUUAUAAGGAAAACUGAGAACAACGUUCAGGUUUACCCUAAUUUUAAGAUGUAUAAGGGUUUUAUAAUCUCAUUCACCACCUCUCUUAUAAGUUAUUUUAUUUUAUUUUAUUGUAUUUUCUUUGAUUACUUGCAAGUUUAAUUUUAAAUUUUCUGUAGAAAAAAAUAAAAUUUCUAUUAACUACUAAUAUAUGAAAUAAUUAUUUUUUUUACAUAUAAUUGUUUAAUUAUGGAAAUCAAAACUAUUUUAUUUUAAUGACUUAAUAUAAAAAUAUAUAUAAAUAAUAUUUAAUUUGAUUUAAAUUGGAAUUUGAUAAUAUGAUUAUGGACUUAAAUAUGUUUUUGGUUUUGGUAUAUUAAAUUUUUUUUAUUUUAGUCCUUAUAAGUUUGUAUCUUUCUAAUUUUUGUUCUUGUAUAAGAUAUUUUAUUCAUUUUUAGUUUUUAUAAAUAUACUUUUUUUUCUAAUUUUUCUACUUUUUUUAGCCAACAACUUUUGAUAUUUUGGAUGAGAAUUCUAACACCAAACAAAUUUGUUUAUAAAAUGUACAUUAUAUAUACUAGGGGAAGAUGCCUCUCUAAAAAUUUUAAAGAAAUAAUUUAAGGAUAAAAUUAUCCAAUAAAAUGUGGACACCAAAAUGAGCACAUUUCUUUUAUUAUUAAUAUAGAUUAUUAGUAUAGAUAAUAAUGGGAUUUGAUUUUUUUAUCAUUCAAAAGGUAAAAAAAAAAACAAAAAAACAAAAAAAAACCACGUACACAAAAAAGCUAUACUCAAAGCAUCAGCUGACAAAAGGUGUGGAAGUUGAGUAAGACAAGAAGACAAGAGCUGAAGUUGCUCAAAAGUAGAAGAACUUUCUCUAACUAAAUUGGCGCAUUGGUUUUCCUCUCUAUAGACAUGUUAAAGACCCAACUGCCACUGCCUAUCCAUAAUGGCUCUCAAUCUCUCAUAUGAUUGAUCAACGCUGCCAAUGGGUGAAAGUGGACAUUAGCAUGCGAUAGCAAGUGAAUAGUAGUGGCAGAAUCAGUUUCACACAUAACUUUUCUAUAACGGUUAUACCAAUUAAGAUUGAGGUCGUGGAAAAUGGCCUCUUCCACAUAGUGUUUAACAUCGACAAAAUAUGGGAAUCCAAUGUCGAAUACGAGAUGAGUGUUAAUGGAAAAUAACAUGGAAAGGUGAUUCCUUGGAUGAGCCCAUGAGCUCGUGAAAGGUGAAAAACGAGGAACAUUCUUGAAAAUAAGGGGGUGUUUGAUUUGAUUAUUUUCUCUUUUUAUUUUCACUCAAAAUAAAAAAUGCUGAUGAAAAUAUGUUUGAUUAGAUUUUAGUUUUUAUUUUUAGUGAAAAUAUUUUUUCAAACGAACCAAAAAUUAGAAACAAUAAAAUCUCGUUUUUCUUAUUUUUAAUUGAAACCAAAAACCUCAUUUUGACUAAAAUUAAAAUGCGUCAAAUAAUAUAAAUUUAAAUACAUCUAAAAAUGUAUUUCCUUUUAAAAACAUAUUUUUAAUGCUUUUAUUUUUUGAAAGUAGAAAAUAAGAAGUCAAACUAAAUAUAUUUUCAGAAUUCUAAAUUUUCAGAAAAUGAAAAAAAAAAAAAAAAUGCAAACCAAAUACAUCAUAAGAGAUUCAAUGCUGAUUUUCUUAAAACUUAUUUUGAAACAUUCAAUAUUUAGUAUAAUUUUAAAAACAAUGUUAGCAUAAAAAAAUCAUUUACAAAAAUUGUAAACUGGCCCCUUGGAAACCAUACAAUCUCAGAAAGUGAGGGUCACUUGUUGACGUGAAAGUUAAGGACACGUAGACGAAUACGAGUGAGUCACGUCAAAGACUGCAUUGUUGCAUUCAAUGAAGAAAAGACCCGAAAAACAACGUACCACGUAGGCUAGUCUGUUAGCUUUAACUAAUGUGAAAACGUUUUACACUUUUGGUGACCAUUUUUCUAAUUUUAAUGUUUGCAGGGACUAAAGUAAUAAUGAAUUAUACUUUCAAAUAUUAAAUUGGGAUUAAAUAUUAUUCCAUUUGGAAAAAAAUUGAUAAGAACUAAAACAAAUCAUCUACAUAUUAUUGAGGCUAAAAUGAAAAAACAAAUGCAUUAGAAGGAUUAAAACAAAAUAAUAAGAACUCAAAACAAUUUUUUUUUCAAGCAACAAAAGUCAAGCAAAUGGUUUUUAGGGAAAAAUGAUAACUGCUAAAUAAUUGUGAAUUUAUAGGAGUUAAAUAGUCAAAUUUUGGCUUAAAAUUAAUUAUUUAGCAGUUAUUUGUAAUUAAAAGUGAGAAAAUUAAUUUAAAUUGAAUUUCUGGCUGCAGAUACGAAAAAUAAGGUUGCAUUUAGCAAAAGUGGCACAGAAAGGAAAAAAAAAAGAAAAACUUCUGAAGCAGGCCCAGUCCAAUAGGGGCGCUCAGCGCGCAUCAGGCGCUAAGCGAGCAACUAACUGGAGGCGCUGGGCGUGGCGGAAACCGUUACGCGCGCUAAGCCAGCCAGGCGCCCAGCGCCCGAUCCAACAGACGUACAGGCGCCCAGCGCCCGAUCCAACAGAAGCACCGGCCCAGCGUGCAUGGCGCGCCCAGCGCGCGAUCUGAACGCGCUAAGCGCGAGGUGUGGCGCUGAGCGCAACUACGAAGGCCCGUAAGCCCACUUCAGCCACUAUAAAUAGAGAGGCAGUCCCAAGGAAAUUUCAUCCCAUCUCAGAGCAUCACUCUCAGUACCUCAAGCCUGAGUUUUCUUCCCCCUCUAUAUUCUUUGUUUUGUUUUGUUAGCCUAGCCUUUCUUUCAUCCCCAGUUGUAAGCCCUCAAUGGCCAUGAGUGGCUAAACCCCUAGCUAGGGCCUGGCAGGCCUAAAAAGCCAACGAUGUACACUGGGCUUCAAGAGUUAUCAAUGCAAAAGAAUUUAUUCCAGGUUUUUCUGUUCUAUUUCUUUUCUUUUAUUCUUGCAUUCAUUCUUAAAUCUCUUUUUGGGUUUUAAUCGCUCGGGAGAGGGUAAUUCUCAAUAAUAUUUAAGAUUCAAUGCAUGCAUCAGUUUUAGGGGUUAAUCGCUUGGGAAAGGGUAACACCUAAUAGAACAUCUAAAGAAAAGAAUCAUUGGGUUAGCAUUGCUAGGCAUAGAAUGAUAACUCACUGCCCAUGCAUUUAAGCAACAUCUAGAACUUAAUCUUAAUGCAUUUUAAUUAUUGAAUCUUCGCAAAGGCAUUUGGGAGAUAGGUAGUUAAAAUAGGCUUGCCAACGUGAGGCAUCAGGGGCAAGCAGUCAACAGAUGUGGGUAGAACUAACACCAUUUCAUUGAUAAUGAAUAUCAUACUUACAUGCAUCGUAGGCCAAUUGGGUUUGUCUGGUCUUGGCAUUUCUAUCAAUUGUUUUCCCUUUACUCAUUUAUUUUAGUAAUAGCACUCUUUACUAUUCCUACUUUCAUUUCUACUUUACUACUUUACUCCCACUUACAAAUUGAGAGGUAUUGAAAAGUGCAAUAAAAUCCCUGUGGACACGAUACUCGGACUUCCGAGCUUUACUACUUGUCACGAUUUGGUGCACUUGCCAAAGUCUUAACAAGUUUUUGGCGCCGUUGCCGGGGAUUUUGUUUUCGCACUUAAUACUAUAUCAGUUUGUAAGCCUAACUUUUCUUUUCUUGGCUUACUUUAUCAGUAUUUUCUCUUUACUUCUAUUCUUUCUUUCUUUCCUCUAUAAUUGCACGGGUAGUGCCUUCUUGUUUUUAUGCGACUUAGGACUGCAUCUGGAGACGUGGUCCCUAUCAACUUGGAAAUCGAAGCCACUUGUCGGCGUAACAACGCUGCAAGAAGAAGAAGGGAACAGGACACCGAAGGAAGCAGUCACACAUCACCUCCUCUCUCUCCACAUCACACUGAAAUGGACGGGGAACAGGCACGAAGAGUCACCUUAGAAGACUUCUCCAACACAGCCACUCCUCAGUUCUUCACAAGUAUUGCAAGACCGGAGGUGCAAGCCGCAAAUAUCUCCUACCCACAUUCCCUUAUCCAGCUUAUUCAAGGGAAUCUCUUCCAUGGUCUUCCAAGCGAAGAUCCUUAUGCUCACCUUGCCUCAUAUAUUGAAAUAUGCAACACUGUAAAGAUCGCUGGAGUCCCAGAAGAUGCGGUACGCCUUAACCUCUUCUCUUUUUCUCUAGCAGGAGAGGCAAAACGAUGGUUGCACUCUUUCAAAGGCAACAGCUUAAGAACCUGGGAAGAAGUGGUGGAGAAGUUUUUAAAGAAAUACUUCCCAGAGUCGAAGACCGCCGAAGGGAAAAUGGAGAUUUCCUCCUUCCACCAAUUUCCGGAUGAGUCCCUCAGCGAAGCACUAGACCGUUUCCACGGGCUGUUACGAAAGACACCGACACACGGAUAUAGCGAGCCGGUACAACUGAAUAUAUUCAUCGAUGGCUUGCGGCCCCACUCGAAACAGCUGCUAGAUGCGUCCGCAGGGGGAAAAAUCAAGUUGAAGACUCCGGAGGAAGCAAUGGAGCUCAUCGAGAACAUGGCGGCCAGUGAUCAAGCAAUCCUUCGUGAUCGAAGCUAUGUGCCUACAAAAAGAAGCCUUUUGGAACUUGGCACGCAAGACGCGACAUUGGCACAGAAUAAGUUGUUGACGAGGCAGAUUGAAGCCCUUACUGAAACCCUCAGCAAACUACCUCAACAGUUACAAGCGGUAAGUUCUUCCCACUCUUCUGUUUUGCAGGUAGAAGGAUGCCCCACAUGCGGAGGAACCCAUGAGCCUGGACAGUGUGUAAGCCAGCAGGAUACUUCUCGAGAAGUAAACUAUAUGGGCGUACCAAAUCGCGGAUACCAGGGUUACAACCAGGGGAACUCAUCUGGAUUCCACCAAGGGGGAGCAGGAUUCAAUCAUGGGCCACCAGGAUUCAAUCAAGGAAGGAACUUCACGCAAGGUUCAGGGUGGAGGAAUCAGGGAAACCAGUAUAAGGAGCAGAGGAAUCAACAACCAUACCAACCGCCAUACCAGCAUCCUAGCCAGGGCCCCAAUCAGCAAGACAAGCCCACCAACAUAGAAGAGCUCUUGCUGCAAUUCAUCCAGGAGACACGGUCCCAUCAGAAGAGCACGGAUGCUGCCAUUCGGAAUCUGGAAGUUCAAAUGGGCCAAUUGGCACAAGACAAAGCUGAAAGGCCCACUAGAACUUUCGGGGCUAACACAGAGAAGAAUCCAAAGGAAGAAUGCAAGGCCGUGCUAACUCGAGGGCAGAGGAAAGCACAAGAGGAAGGUAAGGUUGAGGAAGAAGACCAGACAGAGGAAGAUAAGACAGAGACACAGGAGGACAGGACAGAAGUAGAAGAGAAGGUGGCAUCACCACCUAAGACAAAGAGUCAGAAAGCACGGGAAGCCAGGAAAGAAGAACCACCAGCCCUACCACAAGAUCUCCCAUAUCCUGUGGUGCCCACCAAGAAGAACAAGGAACGCUACUUCAAGCGUUUCUUGGAAAUAUUCAAAGGGCUGGAGAUCACUAUGCCAUUCGGGGAAGCCUUACAGCAGAUGCCCCUCUACUCCAAAUUUAUGAAGGACAUCCUCACCAAGAAGGGGAAGUACAUAGACAAUGAGAACAUUGUGGUAGGGGGUAACUGCAGCGCUAUAAUACAGAGGAAGCUACCCAAGAAAUUUAAGGAUCCCGGAAGUGUUACCAUCCCAUGCACCAUAGGGAAGGAGACGGUGAAUAAAGCCCUCAUUGACUUAGGAGCAAGCAUCAAUCUGAUGCCCUUGUCAAUGUGCAAAAGAAUUGGAAAUCUGAAGAUCGAUCCUACCAAGAUGACGCUUCAGCUAGCAGACCGUUCGAUUACACGACCUUACGGGGUGGUAGAAGAUGUCCUAGUCAAGGUCCGCCACUUUACUUUCCCGGUGGACUUCGUGAUCAUGGAUAUCGAAGAAGAUGCAGACAUUCCCCUCAUUUUAGGCAGACCAUUCAUGCUGACUGCUAACUGUGUGGUGGAUAUGGGGAAUGGGAACUUGGAGCUGAGUAUUGACAACCAGAAGAUCACCUUCGACCUCUUCAAAGCAAUGAAGUAUCCACAGGAAGGUUGGAAGUGUUUCAGAGUAGAAGAGAUUGAUAAGGAGGAUGUCAGUAUUCUCGAGACACCACAGUCUUCACUGGAGAAAGUAAUGGUUAAUGCUUUGGACUGUCUGACCAGUGAAGAAGAGGAAGAUCUGAAGGCUUGCUUGGAAGACUUGGAUCGACAAGACAGUAUUCCGGAGGGAGAAGCCAAGUUUGAGAAGCUAGAAGAGAAAGUUCCAUCCGAGAAGAAAAAGGUAGAGUUGAAGAUAUUGCCAGAUCACCUAAAGUAUGUGUUCUUGGAGGAAGACAAGCCUGUCGUAAUCAGCAAUGCACUCACAAUAGAAGAAGAAAACAGGUUAGUGGGUAUCCUCAAGAGACACAGGGAAGCUAUUGGAUGGCAUAUAUCGGAUCUCAAGGGAAUCAGCCCUGCUUAUUGCAUGCACAGGAUAAUGAUGGAAGAGGAUUACAAGCCAAUCCGGCAACCCCAGAGAAGGCUAAAUCCGACAAUGAAGGAAGAGGUCAGAAAGGAGGUACUCAAGCUCUUGGAGGCGGGACUCAUAUACCCCAUCUCUGACAGUGCUUGGGUAAGCCCAGUCCAGGUGGUUCCCAAGAAAGGUGGAAUGACAGUGGUGCGGAAUGAGAAGAAUGACCUGAUACCAACAAGGACUGUCACGGGCUGGCGAAUGUGCAUCGACUAUCGCAAGCUGAAUGAGGCCACCCGAAAGGACCACUUCCCUCUACCGUUCAUGGAUCAGAUGCUGGAGAGACUUGCAGGGCAGGCGUAUUAUUGUUUCUUGGAUGGAUACUCAGGAUAUAAUCAGAUUGCGGUGGACCCUAGAGACCAGGAGAAGACGGCCUUCACAUGCCCUUUUGGCGUCUUUGCUUAUCGAAGGAUGCCAUUCGGGUUAUGUAAUGCACCAGCCACAUUUCAGAGGUGCAUGCUGGCCAUUUUUUCAGAUAUGGUGGAGAAAAGCAUCGAAGUGUUCAUGGAUGACUUCUCGGUUUUCGGAUCCUCAUUCGACAGUUGCUUGAGGAACCUAGAGAUGGUACUUCAGAGGUGCGUAGAGACGAAUCUAGUCCUGAAUUGGGAGAAGUGUCAUUUCAUGGUCCGAGAAGGCAUAGUCCUGGGUCACAAGAUCUCAGCUAGAGGGAUUGAAGUUGACCGGGCAAAGAUAGAGGUUAUAGAGAAGCUGCCGCCACCACUGAAUAUUAAAGGUGUCCGAAGUUUCUUGGGGCAUGCAGGGUUCUACAGGAGAUUCAUUAAGGAUUUUUCAAAGAUUGCGAGACCCCUAAGCAACCUGCUGAAUAAAGAUGUGGCCUUCAAGUUUGAUGACGAAUGUUCAGCAGCAUUUCAGACACUGAAAGACAAGCUUACUACUGCACCUGUGAUGAUUGCACCUGACUGGAGUAAAGACUUUGAGCUGAUGUGCGAUGCCAGUGAUUAUGCCAUAGGAGCAGUCCUUGGACAGAGACACGAUAAGGUAUUUCAUGCUAUUUAUUAUGCUAGCAGGGUCCUGAAUGAAGCACAGUUGAACUAUGCCACCACGGAGAAGGAAAUGCUAGCUGUUGUCUUUGCCUUGGAGAAGUUCAGAUCAUACUUGAUAGGAUCGAAGGUCACCAUUUUCACAGAUCAUGCUGCCAUCAAGCACCUGCUCGCCAAGACCGAUUCGAAGCCAAUGUUGAUUAGAUGGGUCCUCUUAUUGCAGGAAUUUGACAUCAUCAUCCAGGAUAAGAGAGGAUCCGAGAAUGUGGUAGCCGAUCACUUAUCUCGGUUAAAGAAUGAAGAAGUCACUAAGGAAGAGCCUGAGGUAAGAGAUGAAUUUCCUGAUGAAUUUCUUUUGCAGGUUACCACCAGACCUUGGUUUGCAGACAUGGCAAACUACAAAGCCACGGGAGUCAUUCCAGAGGAGUACACUUGGAAUCAGAGGAAGAAGUUCCUACACGACGCACGCUUCUAUGUUUGGGAUGACCCCCACUUGUUCAAAGCAGGGGCAGAUAAUGUAUUGAGAAGAUGUGUCACAAAGGAAGAAGCACGAAGCAUUCUUUGGCACUGUCACAGUUCAUCAUACGGCGGACAUCAUAGCGGGGACAGAACAGCAGCAAAAGUGUUACAAUCAGGUUUUUUCUGGCCCUCUCUUUUUAAAGAUGCUUACGAGUUUGUGCGUUGUUGUGAUAGAUGCCAAAGAACAGGGGGGAUAUCACGGAGAAAUGAGAUGCCGUUGCAGAACAUCAUGGAGGUGGAAAUAUUUGACUGUUGGGGCAUAGACUUCAUGGGACCCCUGCCUUCGUCAUACGGGAAUAUUUACAUCUUGGUAGCAGUUGACUAUGUCUCCAAGUGGGUGGAGGCCAUAGCUACGCCAAAAGACGAUGCCAGGGUUGUAAUCAAGUUUCUAAAGAAGAACAUUUUCUCCCGCUUCGGAGUCCCACGAGCCUUGAUCAGUGAUGGAGGAACGCAUUUCUGCAACAAUCAGUUGAAGAAAGUCCUGGAGCACUAUAAUGUCCGACAUAAGGUGGCCACACCUUAUCAUCCUCAGACGAAUGGCCAAGCAGAAAUUUCUAACAGGGAGCUCAAGCGAAUCCUUGAGAAGACAGUUGCAUCAUCCAGAAAGGAUUGGGCCUUGAAGCUCGAUGAUACUCUCUGGGCCUAUAGGACAGCGUUCAAGACCCCCAUCGGUUUAUCACCGUUCCAGCUAGUGUACGGGAAGUCAUGCCAUUUACCAGUAGAGUUGGAGCACAAAGCAUAUUGGGCUCUCCGAUUGCUUAACUUUGACAAUAAUGCAUGCGGGGAAAAAAGGAAAUUGCAGCUUCAGGAGUUAGAAGAGAUGAGACUGAAUGCCUAUGAAUCGUCCAGAAUUUACAAGGAAAGAACAAAGGCAUAUCAUGAUAAGAAGCUGCAGAGGAGAGAAUUCCAGCCAGGACAGCAGGUAUUGCUCUUUAACUCAAGACUAAGGCUGUUUCCAGGUAAGCUGAAAUCCAAGUGGUCUGGGCCGUUUAUCAUAAAAGAAGUUAGACCUCAUGGAGCAGUGGAAUUGGUGGACCCUAGAGAAGGGAGCUUCGAGAAGAAAUGGAUCGUCAAUGGCCAGCGCUUAAAGCCGUAUAACGGAGGACAAUUAGAGCGAUUGACGACCAUUAUCUAUUUAAAUGAUCCUUGAAAGAGCCUACUGUCUAGCUAAGGACAAUAAACUAAGCGCUGGUUGGGAGGCAACCCAACAUUUAGUGUAAAAAUGUAGUAUUUUGUUUCUGUUCAAAAAAAAAAAAAAAAAAAAAAAAAAAAAAAGCCCAACAGGUACAGAUAGCAAAAGGAGGGGUGCCAAUAGCAGAAAUCAAGUGGGCUGCACGAAGAGCCGCGCUUAGCGCGAGACCUCGCGCUAAGCGCCCAGGUACGUUUUUAAAUUUCAAAAUACGAGGGAAUGCCAAAGGUCAGAGCGCCUGCGGAGCGCUUAGCGGCUACCUCCCGCUAAGCGCAUACACCAUAAUUGCUGGGCAGUUUUCGAAAACUGCCCAACGCCUCGGUUGCCUCCUUUGUUUUUAAUUCGGAUUUUUACCCAGCAUUUCUUCUCUUCCCUUCUUCCCUCUGCCUUUCUUCCUUUCCUCUCUGCAUUCUCUCUUUCUCUACUUGCCGAUAUCUGUCCCUGUGCUAUUUCACGCGGAUUUCAUAGGUAAGACAUGGUUUUGUACAUAGGUUAACCUAAUCUGCAGGUAUCAUCACGCUAAGCCUUGCGCAUAGGCUUAGCGGGAGCAAACCAAGUGAAGAACAACACGAGGAGCGCGCUAAGCCGCUGCAAGUCACAGGAGCUACCACGAAGCGCUCGCUUAGCCGCACUGUCGCGCUAAGCGCGCUCAACUGUAUCAGUGAACGCGCUAAGCGAGUGCGAGCGGCGCUAAGCGCGUGCCAGCAGCAGCGCGCAGGGUGGCGCCAAGCGCGAGGCUGGGCCUUAGGGCCACCAGUCCUCGUGCUUGCUUUCUGCACCCCCAUUCUUUUUCCCUUCACCCCCUUCUUCUCUACUUUCUGCACCCCCUUCUUUACUAUUUCCACCCCUCAUUUGUUUACUUUUUGCACCCGCACUAAUUACUAACUGCAAUCUGUUUUGCUGUUUUUGUGGUUUUUGUUUUUUUUUCAGAUGGCUUCUCGCAAGCGCCGUGCCGUGCCCACACCAGGGGAAGCGUCCAACUGGGACACUUCCCGCUUCACAUCUGAGAUUGCCUGGCACAGGUACCAAGACAACAUUCAGCUCCGGAACAUCCUUCCGGAGAGGAAUGUUGAAUUGGGACCCGGUAUGUUUGACGAGUUCCUCCAGGAACUCAGGAGGCGCAGAUGGGACCAGGUGCUGACUCACCUUCCGGAGAAGCGGAUUGACGUGGCUCUGGUGAAAGAGUUCUAUUCGAACCUUUAUGAUCCAGAGGACCACAGUCCACGAUUCUGCAGGGUGCGAGGACAGGUCGUUCGUUUUGAUGCUGACACCAUUAACGACUUCCUCGACGCCCCGGUUAUUUUGGAGGACGGGGAAGAGUAUACAGCAUACACCAAAUACCUCAGCACUCACCCCGAUCCUGACACCAUCGCGGCCACACUGUGUACUCCAGGGGGGCGCUUUGUCCUUAAUGCUGAUGGUCUCCCCUGGAAGCUCCUGAGGAAGGACAUGACGACACUUGCUCAGACAUGGAGUGUCCUUUCUUACUACGAUCUUGCGCCCACUUCUCACACUUCUGAUGUUAAUCUUGACAGGGCCCGCUUGAUCUACGGUUUGGUGAGCCGCAUGGACAUGGAUGUGGGCAGCUUUAUAUCACAGCAGAUCAGCCAGAUUGCCCAGUCCAGUACCUCGAGGCUCGGGUUCCCGGCGUUGAUUACAGCGCUGUGUGACAUUCAGGGGGUGGUUUCUGACACCCUGAUCUUUGAGUCACUCAGCCCUGCGAUCAACCUAGCCUAUGUGAAGAAGAACUGCUGGAACCCCGCCGACCCAUCGAUCACUUUCCCUGGGCCUCGCCGCACACGCACCAGAGCUUCAGCAUCAGCUUCCGAGGCCCCUCUUCCUACCCAGUCUCCGUCUCAGCCAUCCCAGCGACCGCGACAUCCACCUGCUUCCACCUCAGCAUCCAUGGACAUGCAUGGGCAGAUGCUGAGGUCCCUUCACGUUGGACAGCAGCUCAUCAUGGAGAAUAUGCAUAGGCUGUCCCUACACCUGCAGAUGGAUCCCCCGCUCACCACUCCAGAGGCCUAUCGUCAGCGAGUCGCCUGGCCAGGAGACCAGCCCUCCACUGACAGGGGGGAAGAGCCUUCUGGAGCCGCUGAGGAUCCUGCAGUCGAUGAGGACCUCAUUGCUGACUUAGCCACCGCUGACUGGGGCCCAUGGGCGGACUUGGGCGGAGGCAGUUGAUUUUUCUUGAUGUUUUCCUUUUAUUUUCUGAUGUUUCUUUUAUGUUUUGUUUUCUUUUGUGUUUGGUGGUCUGUUUAGGUAUUAAAAAGAAGUAGUAGUAAUAAUAUGAGAGAUUUAGCAUUUGUUUUCUGAAUAAUAAUUGCAUGAUAACUUGAGCAGUCAUAAUUUUUGAGCUUGUUCUGAAAGGUUGAAACACUUGAGAUGCCACUAGUCCUUGGAAACAUUGGUUCUGGAAGCACGAGUCAGGUCAGGAAGUGGAACAUGAAUAACACAAGGUGGGAAGGAUAGUCUGAUGGAACAAGGUCAUAACUGGUAUGCCGUAUAUUUGCUUUACUUCCGGUGAGAGUGUGAACUUAAUUGUGAGAGAAAACGCCUGUUUUUAAGUUCCUGGUUUUGCAUCACUCUUGGAUUGUUAGAAUAGUUACUUAAGGUGGAAAUGAUCAAGGCUAUGUUUGUUAUAUCUAGCUACUUAGCCAAAAAGCCAACCCGACAUCAUUUUUUCCCUUGCACCCAUGAUUGAGCCUAUAUAUCAUAUUAUUUUAUUCUGAAUUAACCCUUAAGCCAAUAAAAAAGAUAAGUCCUACCCUUUAGGAUGAUAAGAGAGCAAAAAUGGGUUAUUAAGGUCUUAAUUUGGGGGAUUUUGGAAAAUGGGUAGCUAAGACAAUGGUACAGCAUGUAGUAAGACACCUCUUAUAAACUAGAAGCCCGAAAAAAAAAAAAAAAAAAAUCAUGAGUAAAAUAAAGGGCAGAAACAAAGAGCAGAGAGGUGUCAAGAGAAAAGUGUUGGGGGGAAUAAAAGGGUUAAGAAGAAUGCAUCGGAAGUAUUAGAAAUUUUUGCUCUCUUAAUCCUAAUUUGAAUUUUCAAGAAAAACCAUGAUUUUUGUGAGCCAAGCCCAAUACAAGCCAAUAAAGUCCUUAGUGAUCCACCUGAAGGUAACUAAAGAUAACUAUACUUGAGAGGAAAUGCAAAACUUUGGAAUCUUACUUGCAGGUUGUUAGAAAAUUGCAGACACUAAACCAUACACUUGUGAGCAGAGGAAAACACCAGCCUUGUGAGGAAAGUAAGGCAAGCCAGAUGUGAUCGAGAUUCCAAAGGACUGACUAACCACUUGUGUGUUUUAUGCUUUCAUUUUGAGAUGUUGACAGAUGCGGAAAGGACCACUGGAAGAAGGAGGAACUAAGGCCAUUGACAGUGUUGAAACACUCAGAACUUGUUUGAAAAUUUAUUUUUUGGUUUGCUUGGGGACAAGCAAAGUUUAAUUUGGGGGAUUUUGAUAACUGCUAAAUAAUUGUGAAUUUAUAGGAGUUAAAUAGUCAAAUUUUGGCUUAAAAUUAAUUAUUUAGCAGUUAUUUGUAAUUAAAAGUGAGAAAAUUAAUUUAAAUUGAAUUUCUGGCUGCAGAUACGAAAAAUAAGGUUGCAUUUAGCAAAAGUGGCACAGAAAGGAAAAAAAAAAGAAAAACUUCUGAAGCAGGCCCAGUCCAAUAGGGGCGCUCAGCGCGCAUCAGGCGCUAAGCGAGCAACUAACUGGAGGCGCUGGGCGUGGCGGAAACCGUUACGCGCGCUAAGCCAGCCAGGCGCCCAGCGCCCGAUCCAACAGACGUACAGGCGCCCAGCGCCCGAUCCAACAGAAGCACCGGCCCAGCGUGCAUGGCGCGCCCAGCGCGCGAUCUGAACGCGCUAAGCGCGAGGUGUGGCGCUGAGCGCAACUACGAAGGCCCGUAAGCCCACUUCAGCCACUAUAAAUAGAGAGGCAGUCCCAAGGAAAUUUCAUCCCAUCUCAGAGCAUCACUCUCAGUACCUCAAGCCUGAGUUUUCUUCCCCCUCUAUAUUCUUUGUUUUGUUUUGUUAGCCUAGCCUUUCUUUCAUCCCCAGUUGUAAGCCCUCAAUGGCCAUGAGUGGCUAAACCCCUAGCUAGGGCCUGGCAGGCCUAAAAAGCCAACGAUGUACACUGGGCUUCAAGAGUUAUCAAUGCAAAAGAAUUUAUUCCAGGUUUUUCUGUUCUAUUUCUUUUCUUUUAUUCUUGCAUUCAUUCUUAAAUCUCUUUUUGGGUUUUAAUCGCUCGGGAGAGGGUAAUUCUCAAUAAUAUUUAAGAUUCAAUGCAUGCAUCAGUUUUAGGGGUUAAUCGCUUGGGAAAGGGUAACACCUAAUAGAACAUCUAAAGAAAAGAAUCAUUGGGUUAGCAUUGCUAGGCAUAGAAUGAUAACUCACUGCCCAUGCAUUUAAGCAACAUCUAGAACUUAAUCUUAAUGCAUUUUAAUUAUUGAAUCUUCGCAAAGGCAUUUGGGAGAUAGGUAGUUAAAAUAGGCUUGCCAACGUGAGGCAUCAGGGGCAAGCAGUCAACAGAUGUGGGUAGAACUAACACCAUUUCAUUGAUAAUGAAUAUCAUACUUACAUGCAUCGUAGGCCAAUUGGGUUUGUCUGGUCUUGGCAUUUCUAUCAAUUGUUUUCCCUUUACUCAUUUAUUUUAGUAAUAGCACUCUUUACUAUUCCUACUUUCAUUUCUACUUUACUACUUUACUCCCACUUACAAAUUGAGAGGUAUUGAAAAGUGCAAUAAAAUCCCUGUGGACACGAUACUCGGACUUCCGAGCUUUACUACUUGUCACGAUUUGGUGCACUUGCCAAAGUCUUAACAAAAAAACACAACAGAACUAUAUUCUAAAGAUAAAGAAUAUAUUCAACUCUUUAUUUGUUUUUAAUUAUUAUUUUUCUAAUUAUUGCUUUUUUUAAUAUUUUAAAUAAACAAAUUGUUCGGUAGUACUUUAAGAUAUCUUUAAAAGUUUUAGUAAUUAAGACAUAAUUACACUUAAAACUCUUUUCAUUUCUAAAAAAAUGGAUUAAUUGCUAAUAAUUAAUUUUUUGAUAAAUUAUUAUAACUACGGCAUCAUUUAAGGUCUACUACUUUAAUCUAAAUGAUUGAUCAAAUAAUGAAAAAUCUCAUUGCAUUCACAUAUAUGGAAGAUUAUUUAAGGGGAAAAUCCAUGAACAAUCACAAACAAGAUUAAUUUAUGACUUAGUGAAUUGGGUGACACUCUUAAUUUUUUACUCAAAUACAAAAAAAAAACUAUCACCUUGUUAUUAUUAUUGACAAAAAAAGUUUACCAUCUUAAUUUAUAAGAUUGAUUAAGUAACAUAAGGUUUCAUCGUAUUUAUAUGUGUAGAGUAAUCUAUUUAACAAGAGAAUCUACGAGCGAUUGUGGGUAGGAUUAGUAUGUCGUAUAGUGGAUUGGGUAAAAAAAAAUCUACCACCUUAUUAUCAUUAUUAUUAUUUAUAUAUUUAUAAAAAAAGUUUACCUACUUAUAAGAACAUGCAUGUAAUUUAUUUAUUUUUAAUUUUUGGUCUCUCCCCGCCCCCUAAUUUUCCUAAAAUAAACAAAUUGGAACGAGGGCCCAAAAUUUUCCCAGAGCCCAUGUCACCGAACCCAAAGACGACGAACUGAAACUUGAGGAAGAAGAGAAAAACAAGACCCUCUCUUCUUGUGUCUGAUCGAAGAAACCAACCAGUCAGUCAUGAAUUCGUGUUCGUGAUUUGCGCCACGCUACACACACUUACUUCGAUUUGAAUCAUCACUCUCUUCACUCCUCUCUCCAAGUGCUUCCCACAAUGAUGUCCCCGAACCGCGUCUCAGAGGAUCGGGGCACCCCACCACAACAUUUCAGGUAAAAUUUUCUCCUUUUCGAAAAAUUUAGCCAUAAUCGAUCCUGGGUAUGGACCAUUUUUUCAUAUCAUUAAAGUGUUUGAUUUCUGAGGCUAUUUCUUUGUGUUCAAUUGGGACUGUGUCUAGGUGCAUUGACGUGUGCCAAUGCUUUUGCUCUUUCCUUGAAGCUGUGUCUCAAUGUGUUAGUUGUUUUAGGAACUGGGUUGGAGCUAAUGGGUCAUCUUUUUCGAUAGUUAUUGCAAGCAUUGUUUACUUUGAUUCAGUGCUUAUUUGUGUGGAGGGAAAAUUUGAAGUUAACACGAGAGCAAAAUGCAAUGCCCUCAGUGGUUGCAAUUUAAUCUAUAACUUAUUAGGUGUGUGUUUGGUUCAGCUUAUUUAAAGAAAUAAUCAGGUUCUUGUGAUUAGUAGCUUUUUGAGAGAAUAUUUGAGAAGUAUUGAAAUAAGUAAUUACUUUUGAGAAAUAAUCUCUUACCAAAUAUUUACUCCAUACUUGGAGGGAGAUUGCUGCCCAUAGUGGUGCUGCUCGUGAGUAGGAUUGCCUUCCUUGGAAGAUGCAUUGGUGAUCUGUAUAAAAAGAAGUAGUAUUUUAAUUUAAUCCAUUGGCAUGUGUUAAAGAAACAAUAUAAAACUCAUUUUUGUCUUGACCUAAUUGUUUAAGCUUUUGAGAUAGUUAUGAUACGGUAUUGGAGUCUUUAGGAUCAAGUGGUCUAGAGUUUGACCCUUGUUGUCCCUAUUCUUCUAAUAAAAAGUUGAAUUUGCUCUAAGCCGAAGGUGGGUCCAUGGGUAUUAUCCAAGCAUCAAGCGUAAAGGGCUCUUGCGUAAAGGGGCAUCUUAGAGAUUAGAGAUGUAAUACAAAAGCAUUCAUGUGUCUCUACCAUACAACUUAAGCUUUUGUGAUAGUUGAUUUAGGAUAGCGUCUAUGAUAAUUAACUGAUUAUACUGUUUUAUUGAUCAUGUAUUGUGGCAUUUUACUUUUAGUGGUUAUACAUAUACAAAAAAAUUUCUCAGUUACAUUCUACUAUAACGUAUUGGUUAGUGAUUGAUUACCUCUGUUGGAUAUUUAUAGAAGAGGGUUGUGUAUUGAAAGUUUUAACUUUGUUCACUCUUAUUGUGCUGAUUUUAUAUUUCGAUUUGUAGACACACACCCUUUCAGAUAAUCCAUAUUGUUGCAAAUUUCAUGAGGAUAUGGUCAAUAUACUCGAUGUACCGCUACUUCUUGCAGACUGGUGCUUCUGUUGUUCUUUUUCUGUUUGCCUGCCUGGCCCCAGCGUCCAUCCUAUUUUUGAUUUUGCAAAAGCCUUGGAAGGGCAGGCCUCUUUCUAAUACACAGGUGAAUUUAAUUUAUACUCUCUGAAGAGAGUAAUAAGAAAGAAGCAUUAAAUUUGACAUAGAAGUUAUCAUGAAUGCACAUUCCUUAAUAGUACCAUUUUUCUUUUCAGAUUGUUCCUUCUAUAAUAAAUGGUGGCAUAACAGCACUGUAUCUGGUCUUGUGGGGAAAGGGACUGAAAUCAUGUGGGCCAGUUAGGUUGGUUUUUAUAUUCUGAAAGAAAAUUUCAGUUGAUAACUUUAAUGUGUCAAGUGCUCAGUCUUAAUUGCUUUGAGUUAUGUGGCAUCAUGGCUGAUGCUCAGUUGUGUAAAUCACUGAUUUCCAAUUUGUCAUAGUCCAAGUCCAAUUGAAUCAUUGAUGUCAUCCUACCAUUAUAUAGCUAUUUCUUGAUCAUGUUAGUAUCGAGGUGAAUGGUGCUUUGAUAUUAAUGAGAAAGUAUUUUUUAUUGCUAUAUGAACUUAAUGCAAUCAUUGUUUUCUUAUUAAUUUAGAGCAAUAUUGGCUGAGUAUUCUGGUGCUGUUCUUGGAGUACUUUCUGCAGUGUUAUAUGGCAGGAGAGGUCAUUUGUGGAAAAAGGUAACCCUUUUAAGAUACUUAUGUUGUUAGGUAUAUUAUACAAGUUACACCAUGAAACCAUGUGCUCAAAUCGGUUUAAAUACCUAUUCCAUAAGAAUGUUUUUGCAAUAUUUCUCCUUUCUACUUUAUCUGCAUUGAUAAAUCUCUUGUGAAGUUGUAACUUGUGACUAUUUCCUGAAUUAUUUUACCUUUUUCAAUGAAGAUCACAUAUUUUUCUUUCCCCUCUCCUUAAGCCUUUGUCUGGUUGUAGCUGUUUUGGAGGAUCACCUAUCUCCCCUAGUUGUAGUUUCCUUCUUUCUCUAAAUUGAAAACAUUUUUUUUUGUAUAAAAAACUAUAUAAAUUGUUAAGUCUUCUUUGAUAAAAUAAUAAUAAAAAAUUAAGCCAUAGUUUUCAAUCUUGGAUAGCAGUGCAUAGUGGCCAACUUUGUAAAUACUAUAGCGGUUUUUUCAAAAACAAAAAAAGAAAACCCAAAAAUUAAGAAAUUAUUGAUACUAUCUUUGGGUCUAUAAGAAACACAUUGUGUUUUAAUUGUUUUUCUUUGGCCCUAAUUAUAAAGAAACAAUGACUAGUUUUCAAACUUACUCAGGGUUAAAUUUCUUUUAUACCUUAAUUUAUUGUUAACUCUAUUUCCUAGGCACUCAUUCAUUGGAUUAUGAGUACUGACAUUAAAUUUGACCAUCACUUACAACAUUUGAACUUAAGGGCAUUUUUUGGAAUAUACUUGAAUUCAUGGUAGUAUUAAAUGUGACCAUCACUUUCCUUGGUCUUGAUAUUUGUUCUAUGUUUCUUAUAUAUAUGACUGGAGGUAUUAUAUAUAAGUCACUUUUUACACUCAAUCACCAUCAAUCUAGGAGCAAUAAGAAAAUAGUAAUGAAGUAAAAAAUGAUAGAUGAUGGUGAAAUUAAUAGAAAAAGAACAUAAACAAAUUAGAUAAAAACUAUUAGAAUGUGAACAAGUAAGUUUAAAUGAAGAAGAAAGUACGGAACAUGAGGGAAAAAAUGGUCCUGUAAAGUGUGAAGGAACAAAGGUCAAAACAGAGUUAACUUUUUGAGGGUUGUUCUAGGAAGAAGGGUUUCAAAUCCUAUUAAUGUUUCUUGAGCAAAAAAAGCAUUAGAUAAUGUGGAAGAAGGGUUGGUCUAGGAACAAAGGUCAAAACAGAGUUAACUUUUUGAGGGUUGGUCUAGGAAGAAGGGUUUCAAAUCCUAUUUAUGUUUCUUGAGCAAAAGAAGCAUUAGAUAAUGUGGAAGAAAUCACUAUUUUAUUCAGGAGUAAAAAAGGGUUUUUGAAGCCUAUACCAUGGUAGCGCCGCUAUAGCAUGUGAAUUGCUGCUGUUACGGUUGCAAUGACUGGUAUUGAAAAUCGCUCCACUAUUUGAAUCCCAUACUAGCCCAGGGUUGCUAUGCUCUGCUACUGCACUAUAGCUCACUGACUACUAUGAUUUAAGCCAGGUUGUACUAUGAUAAAUUAAAUAAUGUGAUUUCAAUUGCUGCUUGUGAUUAAUGUGUUUGAAACAUAAGUUUGGAUCUUCUCUGAUCCAGUGGAUACUUUCUUAUUUUGAACCAGAUAGGCGGCCUUAUUGCCAUGUUGGCAUCCUUAUACCUGUUAUCAGAAGGAUGGGCUACAGCAACAUAUUCUCCAUUCUAUAUCCUCAGUCAGACUGUGUUAUUUUGUUUCUUAAAUUUACUAAGUUUACUGCUAAAAUAUCUUUUGCUCCAUGUGUUCUUUUUCUUUUCAGUCUAGUUUUUCAUACUUUUUAUUUUUUCCACAAGCGUUGUAAACUUAACUGGAAUAUACCAUGGGAAGAUAGAGAUGAUUCUGAGGCUAAAACUGAACCAGUUUUGGGCCUGAGGCAUAUGUUAGUCCCUAUUAUUGCUGGUAUUCUAUCUGCGCUCAGGAGAGUGAUUGCAAGGCGUGUUUCAAUCAAGGUGGAAACAUUUAUGUAAUUUGAACUUUAUACUUUGACUUUGGUGCAAGGUGUUUUGUGUGUAUCCAUAACCCCUGGACAUUUUGUUUUCAGAAUCAACUUAAAAGGCGACUCCAUGCUUUAACUAUUGCUUCUGCAACAUGUUUUAUGUUUCCUAUUGCCAUGUGGGACAUGAUCAUAGUGAGUUCUAUGUCAUUGUCACUUUUACAUUUAUGUGGAAUUCUUAUAUUGUUCUGUGGUUUUUGCAUGAUUGACAUUUGACAAUUUUUGUAACCCUCUUGUCCCCUCUCUUCUCAUGUCCUUCAGGGAUCAUCAUCUGAAUCUGAUAGUAACGCAAAGCUUCCAUUUUCUGCUUGGGCCUUCUUGAGCACUAUUCUGUUUGGAAAUAUUGUGAUAUUCUAUGCUGACAGUAUUGCAGAGGAGAGGUAUGCCAUGAAUGAUGAUAAUCUUACCAUAAGUAAAGGCUAAGUGAGUAAUGGGAAGGCAUUUAUUCAUUUUGAAAUUAGGUUUCUUAUGCUCUUUAGAUUAUCAGACAAGGUUCUAUAAAAUAACUAUUAACAAAUGGCAUAACCAUUUGCAGUAAUAUUCUCCCCAUUCUCAUUGAAACAAUUAUUCAAUUUUCAGUUUGAUGAAAUUAUAAUUCCUCGUCUAGAAAUAAAUUAAUUGACUUAUAUCUGACUUCAUCUUGUAUAUGAAAAAAGUUGGAUAAAAAUUAGGUCAAAUUUAAAUCCAAGAUUGAUUUGGUAAGAUCUGAAUUGUAUUUGAAUUUUUAAGUUCCGUAUGGUGUAAGAUAAUAUAAUAUAGUGCAUGACAUUUUGAACUCUUUGUUGUUGUGAAGUAGCUGAAAAUUCAUACUUUUCUUUUUGUAGAUUGCACAUGGUUUUCUCCUCACCAAGGCAUUUAGCAGCAGCUGGUGCGUGCAUCAUCAUAAUGGAGAAAGUUUAUAAGAUGGAUUUUUCUCUCACAGGAUUCACGAUUUGCUGCUUAAUAUUAGGUUUUGGUAUGUUUAGCAGUUAGUUUUGAAUAUUAUUAUUCUCUUUAAAUUAUAUUUUUCAUGGAUUGUUUCUAGAACACUAUAACUGAACGAGUAGCUGAUAAUUUUUUGUCAUGCCUUACAAAGUUUAAGGGUGUGUUUGAUUUCUAUUUUCAAAAACUGUUUUCAGUUUUUGAAAAACAAAGAAAAUAGAUGCCCACACCCAGCUCAUGCCUUAUGACAUGCAACACCACUCCCAGUGACCUACACUCUUGAGGUAGGACUAAAAACAGAAAAAGAGAAUGAGAAAGACCAACUUUUGGAAACAAUUUUCAAAACUUAAUAGAUUUUGGACAAGAAAUCGAUUGCCACUAGCAUGAAAAUAUUUUAGAAAACAGUUUUUGAAACCAAAAAGUGAGAAGGAAAUCAAACAGACCCUAACUUGUUUUUAUGAUACUUGGCUUCUCAGAUUCUAUAUACAUUGGUUAUAUAUCCUCUGGAUUUUUUAAAUGACAUUCAUAUUCCAGAAAAAGGGUAAAUCUUUUUUAAACUCAGCUUAUCUUGAAGCAGUUCAUGUUGAAUUCUUGAACUUCACUGUUUUUUUAUUGCCUUUUCUUACUAGUAAUAAUUUGAUUUUUAAGGACUUUCCAAAAUUAUCGCUAUUCACUACCAGUCAACUACAUUUUCCUGUCUUCUAGAAUUGAGUUUGUAUUUCUGAGAGAGCAAAUAUACUGAUUACUGAAUUAAGGCAUUCUUGUUUCUGUUUUUCUCUUUUCGUGGUUAAUAAUCUUAAAUUCUCAUUGUAAUGGAAUAAUGUAGGGAUAUAUGAAGCAACUUCAUUGGAGCGCAAUAGAAAAGAUUCUAUCCGAAAUUCAGAUUUAUCCAAUGGAGAAUUUGAUAAUCAAAUCCAGAUGUCACCACUACCUACUUGAAGUAUGUGUAUUUUAUUCCUUCAAAUUAUGAAAUGUAAAUUUAUUGCCAAUUGUUUAUUUGGUUCAUUUGUGUGAGUGGGUAUCUAUGCAUUCUGCUCUGUUCAAUUGACACCUACCAGCAAUUUUCCAGAUGAGUAUUGAGUAUCAAUAUUAUACUACUGAUUCUAAUAUAUGGUGAGCCUGAUUACCAGUUUUUGCAAUGUCUUUUUGAUAUUUUGAAAGCAAUAGUCCUUAAACAUCUAAAAUUAUAUAGGGAUAUAAGUACAGAGAAAUGUUUUGAAUUGAAAGACAGCAAGAAAUAUGCAUGAUAGAGACUGGAAUAGAAGAUUAGAAACAGAUUUUUCUUGAGUAAUCCCCUAAUUCCCAAUCUCUGCUCCAAUGUAGAACAGUAUCAAGAAUAUAGUACUGUGUACAGAAACAAUAUGAUUUCCCUGGAAAUUUAAGAGGUUCAGGCCUCUCCUACAUUUGGUGCCCAAUACUCGUACACCUUUCUUACUUAAUUAUAGGCAAUCUGCCUUUAUUAUUCUAUCUCGGCCCAAGAAACUAACAAAUAUCAACUACUAAUUAACUAACUAAAUUCUAAUAGAUAUUGACAAUUAUUGGCUAUCUAACUAUGAACCGUUUUGGAAAGAUUGUAGUUGUUCAUAGAUGCCAUGAUGCACAUAGGUGGGAAAUGUAGAAGGUUUAUUGUGGGAGAGGGAGAGUAUAGGUGUGCUUUCCUCAAGGAAGGUUGCACAUGGAGCUGAGUGCAUGCUUUUAUUUAUACAGAAGAGAUUGCUCACCUUUUUGUGAGUGCUAGGUGUGCCCUAAAGCUUUUGGUGGUUUUGGUCCAGGAGGGUAAACUUUAGUGGCAAUGUGCAAUCCAUGCUGUUAUGUGGUGCAUUUUGUCUCAGGGUGUAUCACUUGUGCUUGUUGAUUUGGAAUAAAGAUUAAGUAUUAGCUUCUAUUGUCUUUUUUAAGAGGUUUGUCUAAAUGAAAUACGGUGGGAUUGGGCACCUUUGUUUGGUGUUUUUACUUUUUCUUUGUUUUACUUUCGCCUUUUAUUUGAGAAGGAUGGAGGAUCCUCUAUUCUCUAAUUUCUUCUCUCCAUGUUUAUGAAUUUCUUCUUUUAUCAAGAAAAAUAUAAUUACAUUUACAGCUAAAAAAACCCUGAUUCUUUUCAACUAGUUGAAGAACUUUGUUAUAUUCAACUUAUUGAUUUCAACUGAUGUCCAUACAUAUCAUCCGUUGCAAUUUCACAGGAGAUUACUUUCUUCCAUGGCUAGUCAAUUUUCAGUGUCAGUAGUAUUAGUUGAUGUGAAGAUAGUCUGAAAGAUUUAGGGUCUGUCUGAUAUGUUAAAAAAUGAGGGACAGGAUAAAGUUCCACAUUUGAUUUUAAAAAUGGUUGUAGGACAGAACAAAAAAGGUUGUAAAGGACAGAACAAAACAUAAAAUUUUGUUACUCACUAAUGUGAGAGAUAACUUUUUGUCCCCAUGAUUCAAUUAAAAGGACAAAAUUAUCCUUCUCAUUAUCCCAUGUCUCCCCCUCCUCUUUUUCUUUUCCUCAACUUCUCUGGUUCAUUCUUCAUGUUACAGGGAUAGUUUCAUGUUAAUUAAUGGUUAUCAAAUCCAGAAUUGCAAUUGCACUCAUUUAUUUGAAAGCCAUAUUAGUAUACAAGUGUCGUAGCACUCAGAGACCUUAAUUUGGCUUCAAUUGGGUUUUAGGCAAGGAACAAAACAGGAAUGAUAAUGUUGAUGAAUAGGCCAAUGAAAUCAAUGGUGUGUGAAAGAGGUUAAGGUCAAAUGGUGUGCACGAGGUUGGUGGUAGCGGGCAGUGUGAUGGUUGUUGUGACAGGUUUGAUGUGUCAGUAUACUGUAUAGAUUAUUGUGGACGAUGUUGUUUUCUGAUGCCAUUUUCAAUAUCUUGGAAUUGAGUGAGAUGAAUGAAGGGUAUUUAAAUAAAUUUCAAAUAAUUUUAUUUAGGUUGCCCGGUGCUCAUCAAACCAAGACAGGAUAUAAAGUUGUCCAGUAACUUGAUUAUUUUACUGUCCUGUUCUCCUUGUCCAGAACAAUUAGAACAGAACAGUACAAAUAAUGUAAAAGGACUCAAAAACAACUACAUAUUAUAUGGACCAAAAAGUUAUUUUAGCCUAAAUUUCAAUUUGACUGAUUGCUAUGCACUUUUUCCUUGAGAAUGAAGAGGUGAUGUGAAUAAUCUUAAUAACAUUGCUUGUGUUUAUCUGAAGGAAUAUUAAGUUAGUUGUGUUCAGUGUUGGUACACAAAGAUAUGUUGGACUCUGUUGACCCAUAAUUUCAUUUUGUGCAUUAGUUGCAGACAAGCUGUUUUCCGCUGUGAAGAUGUGUUAUCCGCCACUUUUGGGAAGCUCCAGCAUCUAGUUUUCUAUACACCUAAUUCUUGAUGAUUGAUCUGAUCUGAUAUGAUCCUUGGGGGCCUGAGAAGCACUUUUAACCUACCGAGUUCAUUAUUUUGCUUCCUACAAGAUCAUUACUAGUCUGGUAGUUUAUUGUGUAGUUUAGGAGUGAUUUUCUAUCAUGAAGAAAAAGAAGCAUUAUUCGUCGUCAUGGUAGAAGUUCUUUGAAUCUUGUUAUAAUUGAAUCACCCAUAUGAGCUAACUGCACAUUAUAAUGAAAUUAUUGAAUAUGCCAAACUGUUGGUUAUUCCUUGUAUGUUAUUUUCCCCCCCUUCCCAUUUCUCUUAUUUAUUUUUUUAUUUUUUUUGUCCUUUUUUGUUUCCGUUAUUCUUUUUUGUUUCAAUUAUUUCCUUAAAAGUAUAUUUAAUGAUCUGGAUUUAUAAUAAUAUUUGUAAGAUGGACGAGGCUUGAAGUAUUAUAGUUUUUCUAUUUUAUUUCCCCCUUUCCUUUUAUUUUAUUUUGUGUGUGUAUUUUUUGGAAUGCUUGCUUGGGAGGAAAAAAAAAAUAAAGAGUGAAUUUUUUUUUACAAGUAUUUUUUCUUUGUUUAGUGAAAGGAAAAAAGGAGAGAAAACCUAACUUCUAGAAAUAUCAUUUCUUUUAAUCCUUACGGGGGAUUACAUUUUGCAAUGUUAUGUACUACAUACAUGUACGUUUUAAUUGUUGAACCAAAUGAAACCUUUAAUGUGAUUCCACGAGAGCAACACAUUUAUUUUAAUUUAGUGCGUUUUCUGUUUUUCUUGCAUUUCCAACACGGUAAUAUAUUUUUUUUUUAUCAUUUCAAACUACCAAAAAAGACAUAAAUGUGAAAGACACAAUGACAUUUUAAAAAAGUUUUACUAUUUAUAGGUUUAAUUGCAGUAAAUAAAAAAUUAUUUAUAGGUUUAAUUAUUCAAUUUGUCUCUAUAAUUAUAUAAAAUUCAUCUUUUAGUCCUUAUACUUCAAAAUAAUUUAUUUUAGUUUAUAUAUAUAUAUAUAUAUAUAUUUUUUUUUAAAUCCAUUUUAGUUCUUAUACAUACCAUUUUUAAUAUUGUCAUUUAGUUUUUAUUGUCUAAAUUUAUAAGGAUUAAAAAAAAUUAAAAAUGAUGGUAUAUAUUAGGACUAAAAUGAAUUUUUUUAAGUAUAUAAACUAAAAAAUAAAAUUUGUGCAACUAUAAUGUUGUUCUGAAAAAAGCGGAAUUUAGCUAACUUUAUUGAUGAAUACACACCUCUAAUAGCAAGUAUUUUCUUGCAAAAAUAAGUCCAACCGUCUUAGGGUCCAAGAAAGAUACAACAUAGAACGCCAAACACUACAUAUUGAACCACAAUUAUUUAUUAUAUUUUUAGUAUUAUAUAUAUAUAUAUAUAUAUAUAUAUAUAUAUAUAUAUAUAUAUAUAUAUAUAUAUAUAUAUAUAUUUGUGAAAAAGGUAUUGUAAUAUUGUGAAUAUCUAUAAUAUUGAAGAUGUUUUAGUCCAUAUCUUCAAUUUUGUAUAUGUUUUAUUAUUUCUUUUUUCUUGUUACAAUUGAAUCCUUAUUUUAACAUAUACAUUAAAGAUACUAUUAAGAAAUUGAUUAAAUUAAUUAAAAUAUAAGAAGAAAAAAAAUAAAUGAAGGCAAAUUUGAGAGUUAGACAAAAAACUGUGAUUUUUUUAUAUCAAAAAAUAGGUUUCUAUUUUAAAAUGGGUUAUUCAAAUUGUCAAUUGAGUAUAACCGUGUAUUUAUAGAGACAAAAUUUAGAUUUUAGCCUAAUAAAAAAACUCUAUUAAAUAUCAUCACAUAUUAUCUAGACAAUUUUAAAUCAAAUUAGAGAACACACCAACGUACCUAUAGCAUUGCAUCUAUAUUUUACAUAUAUUCAUGUAAGCAUAAUUGAGAGAAUUAAUUUUAAUAAUUUAUAAGAUUAAAUAUGAUUUUUUCCUCCAAAUAUUGUCUCGCGUAUAUCGGUUUUAAUCCUCCAAAAAUAAUUUUAUUGCAUUUGUGUCCCUAAAAUUUUCAAAAUUCUCUUAUUAAGUUCUUUAUUUAAUUCCAUUAAUUUUCUUUUCCAAUAUAAGUUACCUCAACCCCAUUGUAGACAAUGUCUGAAAUUCAAUUUGUUACAGUCAAUGCGUCAAUGCACCUGUUGCUGUUUCUUUCCAAAGUUAAGUUCCACCAACAUCAUUGUAUGUACUUCUUGUUUGAAAUAAUAGAGUUGUAAUUUUUUCUUUCUUUCUUUCUAUUCUUGCAGUGUAAAGAAUGCUAAUGCUAGUAAUGUAAAGGUGGGGCUAUGAUGGGAGACCACACUAGGAAACCAAUUUUUCACCAUUAGACACGGUAGCUUUCAAAUAAACGCCCAAGAUAUUUUCUUCAUUUUUACUUUAUUUCUUUUUCAUAUUUCCUCUCUCUUUUUCAAAUUGUAUCAAUCCUAGGAAUUUUUUUUAGGAAAGUCUCACCUGAUCUCCAAACUCUUGAAAUCACAUCAUAACUAACAUCAUGUUUCAUUCCAUCAAUCUGGAUCCGCGAGUUUAUUUAUGUUUUUUUUAUUUCCUUCUUAUUGUUAAUUUUCCAUUUUUCAUUCUAGUGUUCUAACUUUGGAUUUAAUUUUUUUGUUAUCCAUGCUACUCCAAAAUCCUCACGCGUCCUUGUUGAAAAGUGUUAGUAUUGUUCUGCUGGUUCACUAGGGGUUUUUAAAGAGCAACAUUGAGUAAGCCAACUAAGAUGGCAAUGGCCCAACUUCCUCGGGACCUCAUAGUGGAAAUUUUGUCAUGGCUUCCCGUCAAAUCUUUCAUGCCUUUCUGAUGUGUUUCUAGGACUUGGAAUUCCCUCAUCUCCCAGGAAAAGUUUGUUAAAUUGAACCUUUAAAGCUCAUCCAAAAAACACCCACAUCCUAUUAAGGUGUCAACUUAAUACUGAGUAUGAAGAUAUGAGGGAUCUCUCGAGCGUUGCACCAUGCUCUAUAUGUGGUUCACUUGAGAACCCAACAUCCACUGCUGACAAUGGUUGCCACCAGUUAGACAACAGAUGCUUAUUUAUAGGUUCCUGCAAUGGGUUGGUUUGCUUGAUUAAUUUGAUUGCUAGAGAUGAAUUUAGUGAAUAUCGGGUUCGAUAUUUUGGAACCUGACCACAAGGAUCAUGGCUGAAGAUUCGCCACACUUAAGUCUUCGUUCAUGCAAUUAUAAACUUUGGUGGCAUCAAGUGAAGUGUGGGUUUGGUUAUGAUGAUUGGGGUGACACUUACAAGGUGGUGGUAGUCCUUUUGAAUAUUAAGUCACAAAAUUGGGAGGUGAGACUUACUGCUUAGGUGACACUCAUUUGAGAAAGGUUUUUAACUUGCCCGACUAUUCCCAUUUUGGGAGAACGGUGUGAAAAGUUUGCAAUGUAGGAAAAAAGGUGUUAAAAAACACACAUUGCGGAAUAAAAGAAUCUAUUUUGUAUUUAAAGUAUAUUAUAAACAAAUGACAUAUUAAAAAAUGUACCUGUUGAUGAGCUCUUGAAACAUAAAAAUUCUUAUAGAAGACUUUACGUAUAUCCACACCGAGACUGACCUCUAUUAGUCAACAACUUUGACAAGUAGAAAAAUAAGAAUGGAGAAGUGAUAUUGGGACAGUUUCAAUGUACAACCUACGUCUCAUUAGAUACCGGAUCAAACUUAGUAUUAGUUGCGUGUAAUGCAUUCUACAUCCCUACAAACUUGGGAAAUUGAUUCGUGUAAUUAAUGGCUAAAAUUUAUUAGAAAACACAAAUUUUUAAGAUCUAUUGUAUUCCUUAUUUUAGUUAGCUCUUUCUUAAUUUUGUAUUUUUUUAAUUGAAAUUAAACCCAUAAUAGAUUAGGUAUUAGAAGAAUUGUGUUAGAAACUACAUUGUUAUCACUCUUUUUAUAGUUAAUUACCAAGAUUUCCUCUUAAGUGCUUAUUCUAAUGUUAGAACUUUGAUCCUUCAUUUUUGGAGUUGGCUUGAUUAGCCUUAAGUCUAACCUUUGUUGGUAAAAAAAAUAUAAGUUAAUUAAAAAUUUUAAUAUGAUAUAGUAAAAUAAUCUAAACUGAGGACGAGCCCUGGUGUAGCGGUAAAGUUGUGCCUUGGUGACUUGUUGGUCAUGGGUUAGAAUCCAGAAACAGCCUCUUUGCAUAUGCAAGGGUAAGGUUGCGUACAAUAUCCCUCCCCCAUACCUUCGCAUAGCGAAGAGCCUCUGAGCAAUGGGGUACGAAGUUUUUUUAUAGUAAAAUAAUCUAAACUCACAUGAAUUGAUUGAUAGUUGGCUAGUCACAAACCAAGGGGAUAUAUAAUACCAAAAAGGAACAAGCCAUAUCAUGCAGUCACAUCUGCACCAUGCCAAACAAACAAGUUUCCUAGCUAAAUCUUAAUCAACAACCUUCCCCAAAAGAGGCAUAGGAGCCAUUGAUUUUGUGUUCCCAGUAUAUUUCCUUUUCUUUUCAUUGUUAUGUAAAGAUAUGAACAUUAUAUGUUAUGUUAUUUACAUAGCUUAUCCAAAAAAGUAUGUUAUUUACAUAGAACAAGGUUAUGGUCUAGUAACUCACUAAGUUGCAAACAAAAGACAACUUCAAAAUUCGAUACUCUACUUUUAUGGAAACAAUAGCAGCUUUCUAUUUUCCAUUGCUGAAAACAAGCUGAAUGAAUAUUCAUCUUUUGGAUUAAGAGAUGGCAAAAUUAAUUAAUCGGUAUUAAGAGGAAGAUUGAUUGUGUUUCAAGCUGUGCUCAUCCAGCCAAGAUAUGAUGUCACCAAAAACUUGAGUUAUUAUUUCAUCAGGCUCACCCUCAAGAAGACCAUGGUAGGCAUCCUUGUAAAGCUGAAGCUUCUUGUCUGAACAGCUUGCAUUCUCAUACAAGGCUUUGCUCACUGAUGGAUCUGUCACAGUGUCAGCCUCCCCGUGAAGGAUGAAUAAUGGUAGAGAAACCUGCAAUCACAACCAUUACAUGUGAAGAUGAAUAGUUUUUAUUUGACUGAUCCAAAAGAUGUAAAAUUUCAUAUUUAAACAGUAGUUCUAGAAAAGAACAAUCAAUCAAACCCAAAAGCAUGAGAAAUUAUUACAUGAUCCAGAACCACUAUGAUUCGACCAAUCUUCACAUGACAUGUAACCAAGUGUUACUUGUAAAUUGAAAAUUUUGAUUAUAUGUCACAAGAAAACUGGUUGAGACCAUGAACACGUAGUGGUUCUGAUCCAUGUAUUAAUUUCUCCUAAAGCAAUUUUUCUACUAUGACCAUCUUUAAAAACUCCAAGAUAUACUACCAUGCAGAAAAUGAAACCAUUUUUAGGGUUGUUAGCUAUAGGGUAUGGACAAGGUAAAGAAACUUAGUAAGUUUUUCAAAUUUGAGGAUAGUAGCAUCUGCCACAGUAAUACAAAGAUACAUGUAAAGGACUAAAAGUAGCUCAUUUAGUGAGAUAAAUUAUUCAAAGUCGAUUGAUCUGUUGUAAGAAGCAUGCAAAUAUAUUAAUUUCCUUCUUAACUAUGAAUUUAGACCAAUUUAAGCAUAUUAUAAUUAAGAGAGGAAGAACAAUAGAAAUGCCCUAUAUAAGCAGUAGAGUCGUGUCUUAGGAAGCCAGAGCAAAAAAGUAGUCUUAAAAAGGAUCACUGUUCACUAUUUCUACAGAAACUUCAAGACAUGACUUAUUUAAUGAUUCUUAAACACUUGAAAUUUUAAAGGGUCUUAUCUAGACACCUUUUUAGGGUUUUGUAGCUCUUGUUUUAGAAUUUAUAUAUAUGCACUAGUUUCAACUACUGAACUAGUUUUAGAUGAAAUACAUGCUACCAUCUUUGCUACCAUAAACUUAUGAUCUUUUUAAACCUAUAACUUUUACCAAAAUUUUCACCAACUCCAACACCUAGAGUAGAUAACCCAGAAGAUCAGAACAUACUUCUUUCAGUCGCCGUUCUAUUUCUUCAGUAGUUUUAAGCAUUUCUACAGCACUCUGCAAACGUGGUUUAUCCUUGUAAGCAAUAACAUUGUAAGCAGUCUGCAAAAAGAUUAAAAAAGAGUCAAUCUCUUACUUACAACACACAUAUUACCAAAAGAAAUGCAUGGAAAGAAUUGGCAAAAAAUGGAGUCACACACAAGGAAGGAUGGAUCUUUGGAUUUCUAUUAGCAGACCAAAAGUAACAUUCUGUAGAACAACAUUACAAAAUACAAACCAGUUCCCUCUUCUUCAAAUCUCUGAAUGCUGCCUCUGCUAAAUCCUUGUUUGGAACUAACUUAUGCUUCGGUAAAACAUUGGCUAAACCAAUCAGGAUAUGAGUGAGGAAUUUUGGAGGAACCAUGUCAUCUGCAAUCUACACAGAUUUUCAGGUCAAAGGGAGAUCAAAGCAAAGACCACCAGAACUCAAAACAUAAUUGUGUUUCAAGAAUAAUACUUUACACAUAGGCGCAACAAGAAUUGCACCAUCCCAUGCCUUAGGCUGUUUCAGGUGUAUCUUUAAUGCAACAGCUCCACCCAUGGACUGUCCAAAUAGGAAGCUGGGAAGAGAAUGGAACUCUGGAUUUUCUGCCAUAUAAACCAAAUCUUUUGAAUGAAUACAACAGUUUCAAUAUGUAAGUAAUUAGAGGAUGUGAGGGAUAGAUCAUAGGCUAAUGCCAAGUAGUUUCAAGAGAUGCAAUAACAGAAAGAAUCAAAUUGAUUGAAUAAAAGAUGAUGAUGAUGAUGAUUGAGAUACAAUGGUGUUCUAUUUAUGGAAAACUGAUCAACCAUAUACUCUCCUAAUGCGAUACUCCUUAAUAAUAAUUUUUUUAACUCGUUUCCAAUGUAAAAUGAAAAUAGAUGUAACAAUUACAAUUUUGUACAGACUGUUUCAAUACGUUUCCAUGUUUUUAAAGCCACAGUUCUAUUUUUCAGGCAAGGAAGAACACUAGGCAAACACUAACAACCAAGGUACAUGCCUUUCUUUGAACACAUAAUGGCAUUAAUAGGUGACAGCUGAGAUAUUUCCUUCAUCAGAAACGCAACUCAUCAUCUUGGCAAGUAUCAUGAGAAGAGUUCACCAAUAAUUCUCAGUAAUUCUAUUUGCAGAACAUCUAUAUGACAUGCACUUUAGCUACUGCCUAAAUAAGAAGAUAUAUGAAUAAAAAUGAGAUGAAAAACUUCAACCUGAUGAAUUGCUUUUUAUAAAACUCAAUAUUUUCUCUUUUCAAACAGUUACGGAAAACUUUAAAUACUUUAUACAACAGAAGUAAAUAUUAGUUCAAGAACCCUUACACAACAUAGUAUUGAAUUUCAUGAUGACUGAGAAUUUCAAGGGGUUGAUGGGAGUAUAAAUACCUUUGAUUUUUGAGUAAUGCUCAAUGACAUCAUCAACAAGUCCAUCAAAACUGGGAAUAUAGCAAUGGAGUCCUUCUGAGAGACCAAAUCCUGGAUAAUCCAUGGCAAAAACUGCAUAUCCAGAUGAUGCCAGCUUUCUAGCAAUUCCUGCAAAUAAUUCCAUGAAACUAUUGAGUCGCUAAUCCUCUAGGUAACUGAAUUUAGUUACUUAAAGCUACCAGUUCUUAGUACCAGCUACAUGCCUUCAAAGAAAAAGGAGCAAGUGUCUCCAUAACCAUGACAGUAAAACACUGCUGCUUUUGGCUUAGAUGCACUAGGAAGCCAACUUUUGCAGAAGAUUUCUAGGCCCUUUGAGCUCUUCUCAUAUGACUGUUGCAUAGCACACACAUUAAGAUAUCAUCACAUGUAAAAAAAAAAAAAAAACCAGGACAAUGACAAGUUGGCAUUGAUGAUAUCAACAUGUUUGAGGCAACUACUCAAAAGAAACAUGAAUUGCAUGAAACCGUUUUAGACUAAACUUCUUACUUACCUCUUCCAUUUUUAUUCCAUCACAUGGGGUCUGCAAAACAGAGAAAUAUAAAAGAGUUGAUAUUAAUAUUUAAAGGAAAUCAAAUUUUACUAAUUUAAAGUGAAAUAGCACAUCAGAUAAACACAUUCACUAUAGAAAUGUCUUUGAUGAAUUUGAAACAACAUGGAGAAAAUAACUGUACAAAUAAUUGAGUAAAGAAAGAAUGAACAGGCCACAAUACUAGAGUCCAAAAAUAAAAAUAAAAAACAAGGAACCCAAUAUGUUUAAGGAAUAAUUAGUACUCAAUCUUUACUCAACUAUCUUAAUUAUCUUGAGUCCCUACAGAUUGUUGAGCAGUUUAUGAAAUAAAAUAGUAAUGCUACAAUACGACUUUUUGAAAUGUCUCUCUAUAACACUUUAUUGGAUCGUGUUUCAAAUUUGGAAUAAACCAUCAAUUUCAUCCUUGAAGUAUUUCUCUCUCUUAAAUAGUUCUUAAAGUAAAAAAAGAAAAAUAUAUAGUAAUCCCUUGAGUAUUAGAAAUCAUGCAACAUAGUAUCUUGAGUACUGAAAAAUCUUUCAAAUUAGUCUCUCAACGUUAGUAUAAUAUAUUAACUUAGAGACUAAACUAAUAGAUAAUCAAUACUUUAUGCAUGAGGGACCAAAUUGAUAGUUUAUUCUUCAAAAAUUGCAUUCUGAAUUGGAGCAGUUCUUUCGCAAGUACAGUGCUCACAACCAAUCAAAAACUUAUAAAAUAUUAAGAUAACUUCAGCAUUGCAUUCACUGCUCGCAUGUAAGAUAUUUUAAUACAUCUUAAAAUCUUGAUAUAAUUAUAUAUAUAGCAGUAUGUCUAUGCAAGAAUUACUCUAGAAAUCGACUUUUUUUGCCCCUAAAUUAUUGAAUAACUGAACAUGGUCAAAUAAUAAGCAAAAAAAGAGUUUGAAAGAAUAACCUACCUAACAUUUUUCCUCCUGUAUUACUAUAGUUGAAUUGGUGGCUGACCCCAUUGCAUUUAAGAAGUUGCAACUCAGCUACAUUCUACAUUCAUUUAAUAGCUACAACACCCCCCCACCCCCAAAUUAGACUUGAGUUCAUUGUCUCAUCUCGCUAAUCUGACUCAUUUAAAGUUAAUUUUGUUGAAUUUGAAUUUGAGUUUCAACUCAUUUUCAUUCUAUUAACUCAACCCAGUCCAAUGUUAAUUUUAACAAGUUCAAAUUAAAAGAUUAGACUCAUGUAUUUUGAAAGAAUAGUUCACCUCACAACAACAUACCAACACCCCCCUCCCAAGGAUCCCCUUUGGCUUUACCAAAAAAGAGAUAAUUUCAGAACACAUUCUCUCGCUCUUUCCAACGGAUUUGCCAUUGCCCACUAGAAAUCUCAAAGUCAAUGUUCCAAAUCCACGUAAACAUGUUGAACCAGUCUCAACUACAUGUACUAACAAUUAAUAUACCCUCAGCAUUAAAGAAGUCCCCCCCCCCCCCCCAGAAUAAAAAAUAAAUAAAAACUUACUCACAAGACAAAACCAAACAAAUUAAAAAAAAAAAACAAGGAUUAAUUUCAUCAAUUCCACAAACAACAACAAAAGAAAAGAAACAAAACCAAACCUUAAACAAUAUAUGAUCAAUUCCAAGCUGAAUAUCCUUGAAAGCCUCACGUGCACGCCUUCUAGCACCAACUUCGUCCAUGUUAGCGUUCAAAAUCUUCUUCAAUUCUCCAUCAACACCAGGUAUCCCCAUUCUUGACACCUUUAUCACCUCUCUCCUAUUACUCCUCUUCUUUUGGACACCAAAUGCUGCUCUGAAUUCUGCACCACUUGGAUUCAAUUCUGAUCUAAUCUACAGACCUAGAGACAGAAUCAUAGGAAACAGACUCUGACACACCCCAUUAAAAAAACAACACUGGUAAUGGGAAGAGAAUAUUAAAAAGAUUACUUUUUUCUUUCACUUAUACUAUUUUUUAUCCAAAUACUACCAACCAUUCAAAGGGUAGCACCAGGAAAGCUUUGUGGGUCUCUGAGUCAAUAUGGGAUCCGCAAAAUAAGGAAUAUCUGACUCGGGAAAAAGGAUAAGGAUAUGUGGUGAAGAAAUUAAUAGUAGCUAACAAGCAGAUAAAUUUUUUAAAAAAAAGUGAAAAAUGAGAAUAAAAGUAUUUUUAUUUUAAUUUUCUUAAAUGAAAGUUAGUUAUGGAAGGUGGAAUUUGAGUAAGGUUAGAAAAUUCUUUAUUCAAAAAAUUAAAAAGAUAAGGAAAGAUAGAAGAAAAGUAGUAGUGUUCUUGUUUUCUUAGUAUGGAAGGAAGAAUUAUUAUGGAUUUGCUUGUUUGCUUAUAUGAUUUUGAAUUAAAUACGUAUUGUUAAGGUUGGGAUGAGGUUUGAAGCGGUCGGUGGAAAGUUCCAUAAAAAGGAGGAAGAAAGAAGAUUGUGGAGGUUUGAGAUUGCCUCAAUAGAGGGAUAAUUUGGAUGAUAGAUUUGUAUUUAAAUACCAGUAUACGAAAAACAAAUUUAAUCAAAAAUAUAAUUUACUUAUAGCAUUUGUAAAUAUUAUUGGUUAUUAUUCAAUGUAUUUAUAUUAAAUAUUUUCUUAAAUUAUUAGAACAAAUAUUAAGAGAAUAUUAUGAAAAGGAUAUAGUACUAUUUUUAAUUUAAAGAUAUAUUUUACUUUGCAAUACAAAUUAACCUUCUAUUACUUGAGUUGGAUUCUCACAAAUAAAAUCAAAAAGAGAUUUAAGAAGUAGUAUUUUAGUUUAGCUAAUGCAUAGUAUAAAUUUUAUUUUAUAUAAUUAAAAAUUAUAAUAAAUAAAUAUUCUAAAUAUAUAAACUUAUUAUAAUUUUAAAUCAUAUAAUAAAUAAAUAUUUUCAUAUAAGUUAUAUUUUAAAUUUAUAAUAAAUAAUUUCCAUUAUGAUACAAGAUUAUUUUUAGUUACUAAUAAUUAAAUUUAAAGAUAAAAAUAGAAAUGAUAUAUUGGAGAUAUCAAAGAUAUUGAAAGAUAAGUGAUUAAGAGUAAUUAAUAUUUUUCUUAAGAAAAUUCAACUAUUUUUCCUUGAAUCAAUAACUUGUUAGUUAAUAAAAGAAUUUAUAAAUAGAAAAAGAGUAUUUUUAAAUGAUUGAGAAAAAUAAUUUGGAAUACUUUUUAAAUCAAAUUAUAUUUAAAUUAAAAUUAAAAAAUAUUUAAAUAGACUUGUUAACUUAUAUCCAUUUAUUUUUGUUUAGAAAGAGUAAGUUAACAAUUUAUAUCAUGAAUAUAUUUUAAGAAAUUUGUAGUUUUCUACAACAAAUUUCUUUAAAAAUGAGUAGAUAUAAAUUAGCAAAUAUCAUCUUUAAAAAUGAUUAUAAAAUUAAAUUAAAUACCUAAUAUAUAAAAUUAAGAUAAGAGAUAUAGUUUAACGAGAAUGAGAAUAAUUUCUAAAAGUAAAAACCUCAUCCAACGAUAACUCAACAUUCAUAUUUGAAAAUGUCUAAUUAUUUUGUAGGUACUUAAAAAUGUCUCUUAAAAAAUUAUAAUAUGAUUUAGAUUAUAAUUUAAAAAUAAAUCAUGAAUAUAGAGAAAAUUAUACUCCUUUGUUAUAAUAAGUUAAUAACUACGUGGAACGGUUCCAGGUCCACUUGUGAGGAAAGUUGUCCACGUAUACGAAGCAUAUAAUAACGGUUGAUCUUUAUUCUUUAGGUAAGUGAUGUCACUAUCCUUAUAUAUAUAUAUAUAUAUAUAUAUAUAUAUAUAUAUAUAUAUAUAUAUAUAUAUAUAUUUAAAAAGGUAUUUUUAAAAUUAUUUUUUUAAGAAAUACAUAUAUUUUAUUUUUUAGAAGCCAGAAAAUUAUUUAUAAGAAAACAUUUUAGAGAAAUAUAUUAAAAAACAUAUAAUUACUUAUCUUGUUAAGAAAAACUUAUUUUAUAAAAUAAGUUUAAAUAAAGAAAAAAAACACAGUUUAGACAAAUAUGUUGUGUGGGACGGAGAACAAGAAUUAGACACGUAUUAAAACUCUACAAAUGAUCAUGGUUUGCUAUUGGUGUGCUGUUGCAACUUACAUAGCAUGAAAGUCAAAGUCCGAAAAGAACACUAAUCACUGUCAAGUUGUGAGUGUCCCCUCAACGAAUAUAAUAUCCACUUUGUUAAGGCAAAUACACCAAAUAGGAACGCAUAGGGGCUGUUCUACAAUUAUUUAUCUGGGAGAUCUAUUUUUAUAUUACAAAGAGCCCCUAGACAGCACUUCCGCUGAGCACGUGNNNNNNNNNNNNNNNNNNNNNNNNNNNNNNNNNNNNNNNNNNNNNNNNNNNNNNNNNNNNNNNNNNNNNNNNNNNNNNNNNNNNNNNNNNNNNNNNNNNNNNNNNNNNNNNNNNNNNNNNNNNNNNNNNNNNNNNNNCAGUCUCUUUUUCUCACACCCCCCAACCUCUUCCCACACCCCCACUCAAAAAUUGUAUAUUUUUUAAUUUGUUUAUAAAAAAUUUAAUUAAAUUUUGUUUCAUUUUUAUUAUUAGUAUUAUUUGUUAUUUUUUUAUAUUCCCACACCCCCACCCCAAAAUUUCAAUAAGAUUAUUUUUUAUACACUCUAAAUUGUAUAUUUUUAAAUUUGUUUAUCAAAAAUUAAAUUUUUUUUCAUUUUUAUUAUUAGUAUUAUUUGUUAUUUUUUUAUAUUCCCACACCCCCACCCCAAAAUUUCAAUAAGAUUAUUUUUUAUACACUCUAAAUUGUAUAUUUUUUAAUUUGUUUAUCAAAAAUUAAUUUUUUUUUUCAUUUUUAUAUUAGUAUUAUUUGUUACUUUUUUAUAUUUUAUUAUUCUCUCUUUUUGAAGUAUAUAUAAGUACAUUUUCAAUAAAAUACAUUUUGAAAUCCUAAAAUGUUUUAAAAUGCUUUUUGAUUUGGCCAAUUCUUUUUUGAUUUGGCUAUUAAAUUACGUUAGAGAUCACUUUUGGUUUAUGUGUCAUUAACAUUAUGGUUAUUUAUUUUUAUUUAUUUUAAAAGCAUUGCACAAUAAGAUUGAAACAUUAAAGUGACAAUAAUAUAAAAUUAACAUGAAAAAAAAUCAUACAAAGUACAUGACAAUAUGAAACACAUGGAAAAAAAUAAUAAAAAGUACAUGAAAAUGUUAAACCAUGCGAAAAAAAUGUAAACUCAUUAUUAAUCAAUCAUCACUAUGUCUGUGAUGUCGCGACGAAGUCCCACAUGGCCGGUCCCAAUUUCUAGCUGCCCUAUUAGAAUUUCUUCUUCUACGAUUCACCCUUUCAUCCACUUGGUUAGCCUCGGCAGAGAAUCAUGACGUAAAUCGACCCUUAAUAAGUCGUCCAUGUCGGGUAUAUCUUCAGGUACAUUCCACGAACCAGCAAGUGGGGCAUUUUGGGUCGAUACUUGACCACUUUGAGUAAAUGAAGGAGUUCCCGUUGAAGGAGGAGAGGACCCAAAUAUGCCUGCAAAACUAUACCCUGGUUGAAAAUCAUGUGGGUAUGAAUACAUCGGCGGCAUUUGAGACGGUUCUUGGGUGAAUGCCGGCGGUGUGUAAUACAUUCCAUGUUGUCGUUCUGGCAUCGGAGGCAAACUAUACGUUGCUGCAUCAACAGUUUCCCGACGUCGCGCUAAGCCUCGAGUCUCUACACUUUGCUGUAGUAUAUUAAACUGUUGAUGUUCAAAUUGUGGCUGAGAAGAGGGAGCAUCUUCAUGUGCCUCAAGUAUCCUAUCCUCUUCGUCAGACAAAAGAGUGAUCUUCUCGAUACAUGGCAGUAAAUCGUCAAAAGUACAAACUCUUCUCCCAACAGGCGACACCAUAAAAUAUAGUGUUUCGGCGAUUUCACCCUGCAUAGAAAAUAAAUGAAUAGUUAUUAAAAUAAUUUUCAAUAAGCGCAACAUUAUUUUCUAAAUUAUAAUGAACAAUGUAUACCAAUAGUCCUCUUCUUGCAUGUUUUGGGUCGACAUAAACUUUUGUUUUACGCCUGUACCACCUCAUAUAUUCAGAGUUCAGACUGAGGGUCCUUGUUUGUGGCGGCGUUUGCUCUACUCUCAUUUCAUAGCGACUAUUCCAUUCAUUAAGCGCGGGUUACAUUAGUCGCAUCCAAUUUUUUCCUUCCUUUCCCUUUAAUGUCAAGUCAUGUAUGUUGUUGGGUUGCAUUACUGGUCCCGGAGUAGGUUGCUGCAUUCCAAAUUGUCUCAUGACUCUAUCCGGCUGGUGCCAUUCCACUUUUUGAAAACAAAUAAGUGGUAUGAUACAAUCCCAUAAUACAGACCCAAAAAAACAAACUUGACUCAAAUUCAUUUUCACAUGUCCAGCAUAAGGGACCCAGACAAACUGCAUAUAAAAGUUAAAUUUAAUAAAUUAAUUAAGAAAUACAACAUCAUUUAAUAAACAAACAUCAAAAUUGUUAUCUCGUCGCGUUUCAUGACAUCUAAUUUACGACAAAACUCAAUUAAAUUGUCAUUGCCUAUGUGAUGCAAUUCACCUCCCAACCAUCUUCACAAAAAAUUAAAUAACAAAAUAAAAUGAUACAUAGAAUAAUGAUUAACAUCAACCAAGCAUGUUUAUUAAUAAUCAAUUCAAAAUAGUAAAGGAAAGUAUACCUGUAACCAAGUGGCGCGUUUUGUUGUUGUGGAGGAAUAACUGAGGGGGCUAACGUUGGGCAUCGUUCCCAUGCCCAUAAUUGAAUCAAGAGAGUGAAAUCGCCUAUUGAUUUAGUAUUAUAGUAUGUUGCGAUGCACAUCUCUCUAUAAAGGUUACCCAAAACAGCAGCUCCCCAUGCAUAACUACUGCACUCUCUAAGGUCUCUCAGAAAUUGCAAAUAUUUCAAAUGCACCCUUUUGUUGCUUUUGUCAACAAACAUUACCCCUCCUAUAAAUCGUAAGAUCCAAGCACGAGCAAAUCUUUCAAGGCCGUCUUGGCUGCCUGUAAAAUCAUGAAUAUUUGCAAAAUGAGAAGACAACCAACUCAAUUUAAUUGAGUUUCCAUCAACUGCAGCAUCGUCAGGCAUGACACCCAAUAAUUCAUGAAACAACUCAAACCAGUCAAUAUUUGUAUUUCCAAUUAAAGGUCUUCCAUCCACAGGAAUACCAAGUAGCACAGAAACAUCUUGAAGUGUAAUAGUUGUCUCCCCACACUUCAAAUGAAAUGUAUGCGUUUCUGGCCUCCACCUUUCAAUAAAAGCAUUAACCAAUGCUCCAUUCACUUUCAACUGUGCCAAUUUCAUUAUCAGGUACAAACCCAAAAUUUGUAAUAGAGGAAUAAUUUCUUCGGGCGGUGCUUCUCUAUGAUUGUAUAGUGGUGUGGCUCGUUGGAUUUUUAACAUCCUAUCAUUAGCAUCAUUCUAAAUAUGUUGGGAUAUAUGAUUUUUUUGCAUCCACAAUAAAUCAUCCUCUAAUGGUCCAGAUGCCACGCCAUAAUGAUGAGAAGAUGACGAACUAGCCAUAUUAAAACUCCUGUAUAGAAAGAAAAAAAAAUUAAUAAUCACACAUAUAAUAAAUAAUAAAUAAAGUCAAGUACGUACACAAACAAUAUUCUAAAAAAAUACAUAGUUUAAAUUUUAGAAACGAACACGUAAUUUAAGUUUUCUUCACAUUGAAAAAUUUUUUUCCUUAAUUUUCAGAAAAAAUUAUAAUUUUUUUCUCAAUUUCAGCAAUUUCAAAAAACAUAUAUAUAUAUAUAUAUAUAUGUUUAUUGAAAUUGCUGAAAUUGACAAAAAAAAUAUAUUUUUUUUAUUAUAUAUAUAUAUAUAUAUAUAUAUAUAUAUAUAUAAUAAAAAAUAAUUUCUUCACAUUGAGGAAUUUUUUUCUCAAUUUUCAGAAAAAAUAUAUAUUUUUUUCCUCAAUUUCACCAAUUUCAGAAUAUAUAUAUAUAUAUAUAUAUAUAUAUAUAUAUAUAUAUAUAUAUAUAUAUAUAUAUAAUGCCUUUCUUUUUUAAAUAUGCCUAAUAACAAUAUUACAGUAAUAUUUAUUAUGAAUCUUAAUUAAAUUUAUAUUCUAAAAAUUAAACAAUUGUAACAAAAAUAAACAAUUUGUUAUAUAAUUAAUAAAAAAUAACUAAAAUAAUAAACAAAUUAAACUAACAGCAAAAAUAUAUAAAGAUAAAGAAAAUAAACUUGUUGUUGUGUUGUGAGUUAAUACAAUUUUCUUGUACACAAGAUGACUACCUGCAAAAAAAACAUACAAAUAAUAAAAUAUAACAAUUUAUAAAAAAUAAAUAAAUUUGAAACAAUAAAAAAAUUAACAUACCAACUUUGCUAGGAGAAGGAAAACAAAAAUGAAAUGCUGGGAGGGGAGGGACAAGCCUCGGGGAUAGAGGGGAGCUUGGGGGAGAAGGAGGGAGUGGGGUGGGGACCAGGUGCCCUUAACGGGCUGGAGGGGGUGGGGGAGAGGGACGCGCCUGGUCCCUAGGUGCCCGCAACAAGGGCGUCACCAGUCGCGCCCAGUCCCAGGGCGCUAGCAGACGCGCCCGCGUCAGGGGCGCUACCUGCUGUCUCCUCGUGCGCCGCGCUGAUGCCACAUGUCGCCUUGUGCACGGAGGCGUCUGUCUGGGGGGCUCUUUGUAAUAAAAAAAGCAGACCCCCCAGGUAAAUAAUUGCAUAACAAUCCCUAUUUGAUAAAUAAAAUGUAAAAGUGCCCCUAUUUAAUGUUUUUGCCCACUUGUUAAUGUUCUUGAAAUAUUUGCCCUUCUACAGACAGAUUUUAUUAGAAGUGAUAAAAUUUAUUUUGAUAAUUUUUAUAUUUUGAGGGUUAAUUUUAUAAUAAAAAUAUUUUAUUUUAAAAAAUGUUGUCGAAAAACACUUACUCACACUCACUAUUGGCUCUAUGCCCGAUAAUUAUCUUAUAAAAAUUAAAAUUAAAAUAAUUAUAUUAAAGAAGAGUAUUUUUGGAAAUUAUAUUUUGACAACAAUAUACUUUUUUUAAAAAAUAUCAAUAUUUUAUCUUUUACAAUCUAUUAUUUUAUAUUAUUUUUUUAAAAGUUUUUAUAUUUUUAUAAGAUUACAAUCCCUCUGUAAUAUCUGCACGGAUAGAAAGAAAUUGGAUCUCUAUCUCACACCACAGUGCUCACUAAGUAGAAGAUUGUUUCACAUUUUCUCCCUUUCACUCUUGCAUGUUUGGCUAGUGUUAGGGAAAAUGGUUUUCUUUUAUUGUGUGUUAUAUUGUUCAAAUACACAGAGAUUUUGAUAGAAUUCCUAUUUGUAUUUACAAUUUUAUCAUUAAUGAAAUGAGGUGACACAGUUUCGUUAAAAAAAAAAAAAAAAGCAUCUCUUGUAUGUAGGCAGCAUAUAAUCACAUUAUACCUACUCAUAAUCUUAUCCUGGACGAGUUUAUGUGUGGACCUCUAAUUUAGUUUAAUUCAUUUAAUCUAAAUAAUUACCUUUUUUACGUACAUUAGGAUUUUUUUUUUACUGCAUUUGCAUUAGGAUUUUAUUCUCAAUAUAAAAAUUCCUAUACAUUUAUAUAUCUUGAAAUUAAAACAAAGAGAAAACCCUUAAACAAUCCCUUAAAAUUACAUGCAUCACCACCAUAUCAGACCUUUAAAAUUUAGGACAAAUAAAUUAUUAGUCAAUCAGAAAUUUUAUUGUUAUAUUAUUAAUUCUCUAAGAAUUUUAUUACCAAAUUAGUCUUCCAAAUUAAAUUUGAUUUGCCAUCAAAAUUAAUCUCUCGAAGAUCUAAAAUAUAAUCACAUAAAUUUUGAUGAAAAUUUAAAGCGAUUACAUAAACAUUUUUUGAUAGAUCAACCUAGAUAAUUUUUUUUAAAAUAAUUAAAAUGAUAACAAAUUAAUAUUUAAAAAAACUAAUUCAACAAUUAUAAAUAAGAAUCCUCAUCGUUGAAUUGAAUGAAAAUAUUUUUAGGAAUUUUUCACAUUUGUGUUUUAGGAGAAUUCUCACUUUUGUUGAAUAACAUAUGUUAUGUUUUUUUUUAAACAAUAUAUUUUAUCUUAAUCUUAUAUAUAUUAAGAAUUUAGCUCUAUUUUUUAAAGAAUAUAUCUCAUAAUUUAAAUUUUAAAUUUAAUUUGAUUUAACAAAUAAUCCAAAAAAAUGAUUUCUUGAUUAUUUCAAUAUGCUCUCUAUUCAGCAAAAAAAAUCUCAAUAUACUCUCUUUUCAAUCUUUAUAUAUAUAUAUAUACUUCAUUUUCUAAACCACUUAUCUCUUUGAGCCUACUUUUUUCAUCUUUACUAUUAAAAUAAUUUUCAAUAACUUUUUUAAAAAAUUAUAAUUAAAAUAUAUCUCGUAUCACAAUAUAAAUUAUUUGUUAUAAUUCAAAAUAUAAUCAUAUAUCAAACAAAUAUUUAUACAUUAUAAAUUUUACGUAUAUAUUUUCUCCACAUGUUUUACCAGUUAAAAUACUAAUUAAAUUUUAAAAAAGGUAAUGUAAUAACGCCCACAAUUUCAAAAAAAAAAAUGAACUAAGAUUUUUGUCCGGAAGAAACGUUACUAGUAGUAUUUUAAGGGAAACGUGACAAGUUAUUAGUACAGUCAUUAAAGAAGCAUGCAUAGCAAUUAGCAUAGGUAAAACGUGGGAAUGAAUAGGAUGAGACGAGAUGAUAGCAAUGAACGACGUCGUGUGAACCCCCCAAACAAACCGUACCACACGUAUCUUCCAUUAUUAUAAAUCGAAUCCAGCUCCCAUUUUUCUCCUCCUCUCCUUUCUCCUAGCUCCACCUCCCUUCAUUUCUCUCUCUCUCUCUCUCAGGUUUUUUUUUCUCUCUCUCUCUCUAACAUGUUAUUUUGUUCUAGAUCGAACCAUGUUUUAAAUAUCAUAGUUUCUUCAAAAUUUUGGCAAAGUUGUGUCUUUUGGUUUGGAGUCUCAAACAUAACAUGUUUCCUAGGACAGAUCUUUCCACACGUUACUAUGUUGUUGUCUUUUUUUUUUUUUUUUUUAAAUGUUGGGAAAACGUGUGUUUUUUUUGGUGGGGAUUGGAGAUUUAUUUCGAAGGCCUCUUUUUGGGUCCUAGGUUUUGGGUGCUUUUUGAAAAUGGAGGCAUUGGGUUUUUGUGGGUUAAGUUGACCUAAAUGUUGGUUUUUUGAGGUGUGCCAUCAUGGGUCUCUUUGACCUGGAAAAUGAAGUUUGAAAUUUUUUCAUGCUUUGAGCUCAGAUUUGAUGGUUAUUUGUGAAAAUUCGUUGAACCCUUAUCUGCUGGUUUUGAAAAAUUGUACAAGAGUGAAAUGGGUUGCGGAAUUAUAAUUUUCCAAUGUUUUGUGUUUAGGCUGAAUGAAUCUGUUUGCGUAUUGGAGUAGUAGUGUUACAAUUUUUUAGAUCAUGCUCUUAAUUUCUUUGUUAAUAAGAAACUUUUACAUGUGUGUGUGUGUGUGUGACAUUAUAUCAGAAUAAUUUUGUUGUAUAGAUUGGGGAUGGUGUUACAAUUCUUAAGGUCAUGCUCUCAAUUUGGGCAUGUUCUGAGUAUAACUUUAUUUUAUUUUGUUGUAUAGGCGUUCUACUGUGGAAAAAAGGUGAUUUUGAAGAUGAACUGUUAUGGUCUUCAGCAGAACGCCUUUGCAGCCUGUGAAGAGAUGAGAGGCUCUGUGAAUUUCGUUGAUCAGAAGGAGCCUGUCAUUUGCCCUAAGCCGCGCCGAGUUGGGGUUGCAUCUAACAUGCCUACGAGGCAUUUCAGAUGGCAUUUCAAGUAAUUUAUUGGAAUCCAUUGCAUCCCUUUUGAGUUUUGUUGACAUUAAUUUGUUUUUGAAGCCUCUCAAUGUCUGAUCUGUUGUGUGUUUCAAUAUUUCUUGUAGUCCACAGGCUGAGGGUUCUGACACAAAAGCUGGGGCAGAACUAUUAGAGAUAAUGUUUAAGAAGGUAAGCCAUGACUUUAUGACAAAUUUCUCUAGUGUGUAUUUAAGCCUAGGAAGUUAUAUGUCAAUUAGGAUAGUCUUGGCACCAUGGUAAUGUAUAAAUUUUUAGUGUGAUGCAUGCUUUGCUUCUUUUGUUAGACAUUUGAUUUAUUUGAAUCAAGGUUUUAAAAAAUGGUUUGCUACCAUGAUUUUAGCCUUUAUGUCAAGGUUUUUGGACUUUUUGCAAUUGCAAUUGUGGCUACAUUGGCUGCAUUUGCCUGCAAUGUUCAAAAUCGUGCUGAAACCCUGACUAGAAUUUAAAACCUUGAUUUGAAACUUUGGAAUGGUUUUAAUUUGAAACUUUGUAGAGGCAUAUAGUUUUACAUGAGAAUAUGGUUAUUAUUGAGGGGUAUUUUUGAUAAAUUUCAUAGAUCAUAGAUUGAGAUUUUGGUGUAAUGAAUGUUCUCUCUCGUAUAUAACUUUGACUUAUGAAAUGGUAUGCUUAUAUAAACAGGAGAGUCAUGGGCAGGAAUAUGCAAAUCAGGUAGCUUCAUCUCCUCCAUUUUUUUGCGGGUCUCCUCCAGUCCGGGCUGCAAAUCCCUUGGUCCAGGAUGCUCAUUUUGGUGAUGAAAAACAUUGUCCGUCAUUAUUAAUUUCAUCGCCGUCGGGUUUACUAUCUCCAUCUUCGGCGUCACGCAAAGGAGGGUGUGUUAGGAUGACUUUCGGACUUAAACCUGCUGCAGUUAGAGUAGAGGGAUUUGAUUGCCUCAACAAGGAUUGCCAGAAUUCUAGAAUCACUGUUGUUGCUUAAACUCCAUUCAGAGAAUUGUACAUAGAGGAAGCUGAGUGUGACUGCUUAUAAAAAUGACUUGACUCAACUAGGAUGAAUAUCUUUGAGUAGGUUGAGGGAAAUGCUGAGGAAGCAAACCUUGUGUUCUUGAGAAGGUUUGAUGUGUAAAGAGACCAUGUUAUUUUUGUAAUGCAAGGUUGGAUCUGAGUGUUUUCUAAUUUUUUUUUAGGUCAUCACCACUAGAAUGUCCUGUAUAGAGAGUUGGUGAUUUUGGUUAUCAAUCUUGUGAAUAUGUUUAGCUAAAUUUAAACGCAUAUUUAUUGUAUUUAAUGAAAUUAAACUGGUAUUUAUAUUUUAUAAUGAGAAAUGCCAUUUCUAACCCUUGUUUAAAGCUUGGUGUGGAAUAUUGUGAUUAUAGGAAAAGUAACAGUGCUUUGUUUCAAGACCAUUGACAAUCAAUUAUUUUUUAGAUUAGUAUGUAUGGUUUAGUUUAAUUUAGGUUAGAGAAUUGACCAUUUUUUUAAAGUUCUUUUAUGAAGAUGAAUCUUGAAAGAAAUAAAUGAUUAUUUUUUAAAAAUUUAUUGAAUCAAAUAUUGCAAUUCUUAGUUGUGGAAAAUUUUCUUUUGGAACGAGGAGUGACUUGGGAUGAUUGUUUUGAAAGGAAGUCAUUGUGAGAUUGUUGUAUCUCUGCUUAUUAUGAUUGUUUUCAAAGGAAGUGUUUCCAAGAUUGUUAUGUCUCUCUCUUUUUUUUUACACAAUGUUAUGUUCGGUAUUGUUUGUUUUAGUUUUUUAGCUUCUCUUUUCAAAAGUAAUUGCUCUUUUAAUCAAAGUAUUUUGUGCCAAAAAUAUUUUUGGCCUGAUUUUAAAUAUUAAUUGCUUUGGAAGUACAGAGUUUCCCUAAAGUUUUAUGAUACCACAUUUUUAUAUAUAAGAUUAAAAAUUAAAUUUUAGUUAACAUGUUCAAGAAAUUUAACUAAAUUCUAUUGGCUCUUCUAAUUAGUUCAUAUAGAAGCUUCGUUUUUAAACUUUAUUAAUUAGAAAGUAUUGUAAUUUUAAUCUUUAUUUCAAAAUAUUUUUUUUAUUAAAAAAAUAUUUAAUUAAAGAAUAUUAUAAAGUAUUAAUAACCAACAUAAUUUGUUUCAAACGUUGGAGAUUUUGAUUUUGAUAAUUAACUUAAUUUGUUUUUGAAUGUUAGAGAUUUGUUAACUAAUAAUAUUUGUUUUGACCAUUUAAAACAAAUUAAUUGAUAAUAUUUUUCAACUGUGAUUUUAUCGUAUAUUUGUUUGCAACAAAAAAUUAUUUUUAUUUUAAAGACUUUUAUUUUUAAAUUAUGUCUAACUUAAUUUCUCUGGUUAGGAGAAGACUAGAGCAAAUUCUAUCUUAAUCAAAUGUUAGUCGCCAACAAUAGAUUGCGGUGUUAUACUUGUAUUGACAAGGGAGUUAUGGUUGUUGGUUUAAGGAAGUCAUGCGUGAUGUGUAAGAAUGAAUUAUUUUGUGUUGUUCAAAUCACGAAAUAUUUUUUAUUUAUAAUGAUUGUGGUUUAUAAAGUUAGGAAACAAAGUAAUGAAUAAUAAUGGAAAUAAUCUGAUACUUAAUUAUUGUAUUUAAAACAUAUCAAAUCAUAUAUUUCACGCACUGCUUCAAGUUGGAACAUAUAUGUCAUGCGAAUAAAGCUUGCAAAUGUGGUAUACUAAAUAGAAACAAGUAAUGGGUCCAAGGGUGCGUAGGAUAAGCAUGGCACGAUGGCAACCAACGAAGACCCAUAGUGGCGACCGAUGUUCACCCUCGAAUAAAGCACACUUUGAGGUGGAAGGAGGUGAUUCCAGUGCGACGCUUGUCGAAGAUGCGUCAUGCAUUGUGUGCGUGAACUUCAUGCACUGAAAAGGGUCCCGUGUGGGGUUGCGUGCGAUGGUGUCUUGAGUUGGUUGCACACAUAGAUGUUGUGGCAGUGGUUGUUGGGAGGUGGAGACUCUGAGUGCUUGGUCACGCUGAAGAUAGGAAGGCGCGACGACUGCUAAUGGAGGCUUCUGGUAGCUUGUGGUAUUGUUCAUGCAAGAACGAAGGGACACUACACUGAUAAAGAAACCAAAACUGGUUGGCGCACAUAAGAAAGGAGAAAGGAUUAUCAAAAGAAGGGUGGCGAGCGCAAAGGUACACCAGAGACAAUAGGUCCCCAAUGGAGAAUGACUUUUGUUAUUCCUCUAUCAAGAAUAAUAUGCUCUAAUACCAUGUAAAACAAUAGAAACAAAAGGAAGUUGAGUGAAAACUUGUCAAAGUACACAAUGAGUUGCUUGUUUAAAUAGAUGUGCGAUAAUAAUUACACAUAAUUAGAGGAGAUUAAAUUUCCCCUAAAUUAGAUCCUAACAAAUCAAUUUAUAAUAAAUUAUAUAUUUAUUCCUAAUUUUCAACAUUCUCCCUCAAGCAAAAGCUUACUAAAGAGAAAUGAAAGGCGGUUUCAACUAUGUGGUUGUGCCAGAUAAAUGAUGGUCGACGGUAGCCAACGAAGGCCUGCAAUGACAAUGGAGACCAGUGUGACCCUCAUAAAAAAUGUGUCACAUAUUAUCUACGUGAACUCCAUGCGCCGAAAAAGGUCCUUGCAUGGGGUCGUGUGUGGCAAUGUUUUGAGUUGGUUGCGCACGUGGACGACAUGAUGAUCUUUGGCAAUGGGUGACAAUGGAAAAGGCAUCGGGAAGUUUGCCAAACAAGGGUAAAGUAGUCAUGUAGCUCUAUUCACGGCAAAGAGGGGUUGUGCUAAAAAGGAAAACAAAGGGAACCGUUUGCUGGUAGUUGGGUCACCGACCAAUGAGGGAUAAUUUUCAUUAUCUAAUACCAUGUAAGAAAUAUUUAUUGUUGUGGAUCAAACCAUACGAAAUGCUCUUAUUUAUAACAAAUAAGAUUUACAAAAUAAUAAGUAAUAAUAGAAAUAAUCUCAUAAAAUACUAUAAGUAAAACAUAUCAAAUUAUAUAUUUAGCCAUUUCACAAAUGUCAUGAUUUUCAUUUUCUUGUUAGUAAUUAUUGAAUAUAUAAACUAGAUGUCACUCAGCCUUUUUUGUGAAUAACUAGUAAAAUCUUUAUUUUUCAAGUUAAAUGUGACAGAAUCAUGUUCAUUUGAUGGUUACACUAUCAGAAAAAAUAUUAAUAAUGUUUAUAAGUCAAUGGAUUGAGAUAUAUCAACGGAUUCCAAACCAAGAAUGGCAGCAAGGAAUAAGUCUCUCUUACACAAAUUUGUUGUUGACUCAUCUAAACUAUUUUUGGCAAGUCAACUGCAAUUUUUUACUAUUGCUGCAACUUUCAGCCAUGUUUGUUGUUGUCUUAGUUACAUCAAUCCUCCAACUUCAUCAUUCUUCCAUAUUAUUUGCAUUAUACCCCACGGGAGAGGUAAUAUGUCUCUCUUUUAGUACUAUAAUUGAUGCAUCUUUCAACGCAGUGGUUGUUGCAAUUUUUUAAAUUUCCUCUCCCCAAAAUUUUGUAAAACCUUGAAUAUUAUGAACUUAUUUGAAAUUUUUUGCAAAAUUUAUUAAAGAAAUUGAUUUCAUGCUAUAUGGAGUAUGGAAUAAGGCUAUAUAUGUCUCUUCAAAUUUUAAUACACUAAUGAAAGAAUAUUUUUUCCAUGUACAUUCUAUAUAUAUAUAUAUAUAUAAAAUAAAAAGAGGAUAGUCAGAAGGAUUCCAAUGUACGAAAGGGAACUAUUCACUAUAAGAAUAAUUGAGUAAAUACUUAAAGCAUGCUAAAUUUUUUUUAUAGAAUACUAAUUAAUUCUAAAGACUUAGGGUCCGGGUCAGGAUGUGUGUGACUUUUUUUUAUUUUUUAGUUUCAACUGUAAAUUUUUAAAACAAAUUGUAUUUGACAAAAAAUAAAACUAAAAUAGUUAAUUCAAUUUCAAAAUAUUUUUACCUUCAUUUUUAAAAUCAAGAAAAAUAUUAUUUUUAAUUUUAAAAAAGUACAGGCACUUUACAUUUGAUAAUAACACUUCUCACCACCAUCGCUAGCACCAGCACUUCUGUCACAACCACCACCACCACCGACACUGCACCUUCCCUACAAUCAUCACCAACAUCGUCGCCGUAACCACCAUUAGCACGAUCACCACCUCUGCCGAUACUAUUGUUGUUGUCAUCACCAUUGUCACCACCACGAGCACUAUUAUUGUCUUGACUGCCAACAUAUUACCAUCACCAUUACUACCAUCACUAUUGUCUUCACUUACAACAUUGUCACCAUCAUCACUAUUGCUACCAUCACUGUUGACACUAUUGUUGUCACACUAUUGUUAUUGCAAUCACCAUUAACACCGCUACCACGAUCACUACUACUACUACUACCAGCACAAUCAUCACUAGCCACCACUAUAAGCUAGCAGUACCAUUUGGCACUUAUUGUCACCAAUAAGUCACUAACAUUACUAUCACCACCAUUGAUACUAUCAUUAUUGUUGUUAACGUCAUCAUCACCAUAAAAACACACUCAUUUUAAUAGGAUUGAAAACUUUUAAAAUGAGUAUUUUAAAACUAAAAAUUAGAAAGCAACCAAACUUUAAAGACUAGUUUUAAAAACUUUUGUAACUAAAACUAAAAAUUGAUUGUUAUUUUUAAAAAUUUUAAACUUCCAAUUAAAAACCACCCAUACGGAUCCUUAACUAUUAUAUUAUGUAAUAUUAUCAUAUUACUUGUAUUUUAAAAAAAAGUAUAAUACUCAUUAAAAUGAAGUUGAUUGGUAAAAUAUCAAUUGUUUGGUGAAUUGUAUGACUUUGUCAUGACUUGGUUGAUUAUGUUUAGUGUGAUGUCUCUCCUCCUAACAAUAUUUUUUAUUCAUAAAAUUUGAGAUCAAGACCUUCUUUAAAGAAUUUGAGUCUGUUAUACUUGGAUUAAUAUAAUAUUGAUUAAAAGUUUGCAUAUUUGAUCUACUGAGUGAGAAUUUUCGAUAUAACAGUUGGAUUAAGAAAGAAUUGAUGUUCACAAAAAGAUUAUUAAACAAAGUAUAUUUAAAGAAACUUGCUUCUAGGAUGAGUAUAUUCACAUCCACAAAUAAAUAUUUGGAAAAAAAAUCCUUUGAUUUGUGUAUUCACCAUUGACUUUGAAUAUGUCAUGAUGUGGUCAUGGGAGUAAAGGAGGUGAAACUUAUCUAUUUCUUUAUCUUAUUGUAUCAUUGUUAUAUCGAAAGGGUCCAAUCUAAAUAUUAAUGCAACCUACUAACAACGGUGUCGAGAUAAGUUACCUAUAACUACUCACAACUUAGAACCAUGAUUUAUCUAUCAGUUGCUAAUCCAUAACUAUCAAGUUACAAACAAUAGAAUCAUCUUGAGAUUAAUUGUCAGCUAAGGAUCAGAUUCAGGCAAUUCUAGAAAAAAAAAAGUAUUUGGUAGAACCAGAGCAUGACCAAAUCUGAUUGUGUUUUUAUGUGUUAUCCAAAUCAUAAUUUGAAAAUUGCAGUGAGGAGAUGAGAAAUGGAACAAACAAAACGGUUUAGUUGCAGUUGAUGGUUAUUGCUUGGAAAGAAAAGUUUCUGAAACCAACAAAAAUUUGAAUUUGAUAUCGCUUUCUUUGCACAUAAAUAACAAAACGGUUUGGUAGCAGUUCCUUAGUAGAUUUUGUUGCUAUAUACCAUACAAAAUAUCUGUGUUUCCAAGAAUUAUGGGGCUCAUGUUUGGUUUUGAAAGUUCAGUAGCAACAUGUUUACAAACUAUCUCUUGAACUUCAUUUCUUGGAAAACCAGAGUAUAAAGAACAUUCAUACAUCAGAUUUGUGACAAAGUAAGGCCAAGCUCAACUAAACUAUGCUGUGUACUUUGAAUAACGCAGAAAGAAUUCCUUUGUUAACCAUCAUUUAGUGACACAAUUAACUUAAAUUUAGAAGAGACUAAUUUCAACCCACAAGAUGGAAAUGCAAGGACAAUGGGUUCUUGAAGUUAUUUGGAAACAAAGCAACACAACACAAUAGCUUAUUCAUUAGUUCUCAUCCAUUAAUUUCCAUUGAAGUCCGAAAACAGAAACCAAAAAUACAGGAUGAUGAAAUCUCAUAAAGCAAAAACAAAUGGGAAUGUAGUUUAAGUACAACAAACAAAGUGGGGUGGCUACAGAUGCUUUGCAAAUUUUUCAAUGACUUAGAAGCCUGGGGGCUUGUAGGCGAUGAAGCUGAUGCACUGCACUUGGCGAACGUUGUCAAAUCCAAUGAUACGGAUGAAGCCAUUGGGGUAUGCAGUCUUAGCCUCUUGAAGCUCCUUCAACACCUGAGAAGCAUCAGUGCAGCCAAACAUAGGCAGCUUCCACAUGGUCCAGUAGCGUCCAUCAUAGUAUCCAGGUGACCUGUUGUGCUCACGGUACACGAAACCGUGCUAUAUACAAACACAACAAACAUAUCAACCAUCAAAACUCAAAACCAAGUGCUUGUUUUGUAAUAAUAGGGACAGAUUUGAUCAAUAUUGAUAAGUCUGAGAUAGAAAAAUCCAUUAGAUAAACUUAAAUUUUGGAAAACAACCACUUCUCUUUUUUUUUUUUUUUUUUUUGUUUCCAAAAGUACUUUUAGCACGCCAGCAAGAGAAGCGAUUAUUUCUUCAAAAUAAGUUGAAACAAACUAAGACUAAGAAACUAUAAUUAAACCAAAAGGGGUUGCAAGAAAUUGACCUCCAACUCGAAUUCCAAGCAAGGAAUCCAUCCUUUCCUUAGAAGGUAUUCGACUUCCUUUGCCAAUUGGGCAUCAUCGAGGUCUGGCAAGUAGGAAAGAGUCUCGAACUUCUUCUUGCCAAUUGGUGGCCACACCUAGUAAUUUGCAUGAAAAGUUAGUUAACAAACAUGCACAUGUGCACAUUUUCCUAUGACUAACAUGUUAAUUUAAGUAACCUAUGACUAACAUGUUAAAUUAAGUAACAUUUUGGAGCAUAUAUAAAUGUGUAAGAUGAAUUUUAAACUUUUUGGUGCCUCUUGUGUGUAUAUAUGUGUGGAGUUGUCUUACCUGCAUGCAUUGUACUCUUCCACCGUUGCUAGCAAUGGAGGUAAUGUCAUUGUUGGUCUUCCUCGUGGGGAAGCCAGCCAUGGAUUUGAGGCCGGUGAAUGGAGCAACCAUGCCGGCACCGGCACGGUUGACGGUGG
rnacentral:lncRNA from 1 species